rnacentral:lncRNA from 1 species
UUUUUUUUUCAGUACGUGCCAUAGAAACGGAGAACAACCCAAUCUAACCGAGUAGUCCAUAUAUAUUCACUCCAAAAUGAUAUUUCAAGUAUAUUAUAUUCUUAUAAAUGUUGAAUAAUAUUCUUUAAUUAUGAAAUUUACGAAGUCGACGCCACUUGCUUAUUUUUGAAGAAACUUUCAUUACUUAGUACUUACCACUGUUUUGUCAGAUCUCUCUAGUAUGAAAAAAUGUGAGUUAGAAUUUUAUAUUUUCAAAUCCGUUUAUUGGAUAAAUGUGAGACUUCUAUAUUAUUUUGCCAUCGUAUUGACAGACCCAUUUAGAAUGGAUUUAUGUGACAAUCUAAAAAUUUUAUGUGAUCAUUGUAAUGCCCAAUCCAUUUAUAAAGGAUUAAUGUGAGAAUUUUAGUAUUAAUUUGUCACUAUAUUGACACAUCCGUUUGAAUGGAAAAAAAUGUGAAAAUGUUUGAACUUUAAGUGUAUUGUAAUGCCAAAUCAUUUUAGAAUGGAAAUAUGAAAAUCCUGGAAUCAAUUUUUUUUAUUGUAUUGUCAAAUUAAUCUAUUGGAAGAAUAAUUUAUCUAUAAAUGGCUCAUGGACUUUUUUUAUUUACAACAUUAAAUCAUUCACAACAUUAGACCCAAAGUUAACAAAAUUUACCAAUAAGAAAAUUCAUGAAAAAAGCAAAAUAAAUAAAUUAAUAGAGAUAUGUUAUCUACAAAAAAAGUUUCUUAAAAAGAAAAAAGAAGAAGCAAAUUAGUGGCAACCAGAAGAGAAUAGGAUUAAAGUGUUUUUAGUGCCCUACAACCAUGUGGCGGUUAACAUCUUGCGAAUGGAUAAUUGUCAUCCCUACUUCCUUGUCUUAAAAGUGAUCUAAUAACAGUUCACAAUCAUAACUCCAUCUUUCGAACAUAUUUUAAGAUUAUCGUUGAUUUUUAGAAAAUAUAAAGAUUUUGAAGUUAGAACUGUUCGAUACCUGAUCACAUUGGUUUUUAGACAAAAAAAAAACAUUGAACUUUGUAAAGUUUGUAUAGAAAAUCUCCAAUGAGCAUUUAGUUCUCCAAAUAUUCUAUAAGCUUGUGAGAUUUCUAAUUCCGAUCGCGUUAACAACACAACUAAUAAAGUUAUAAAGAAAAUAUGACUGGACCAUUAGAUUACUGAUCGCCUUUUCAAUUUUUGCUAAACGUAUUUUAACAUUCCAUCUUGAACAAGGAAACAAAUUGCAAUAACUGUUGAACGCAAUCAUUUGGAUGUGUGUAUUUAAUAUUUAUUGAUGCGAUCAUAGAAUUAGAGGCUAAACCACGGAUCAAAGAUUAGGUCGUGAAACAAAAAUUGGAUGCGACCUUAGUCAUUCCAAACGGGCUAAUGACGAGAUCAUGCAUCAGGAGGUUGGUCGGAGCCGUUCAGAAGAUACUUGCCAAGCUCAGAAAUCAGAACAUGGAACCAGCAACAACUGAAGUCAUGACCCUUCUCACGUACCAGGGUAUUUACUGACUUCAGUCUAAUAUAGUUUUUGGUACUCUUUUUCCUUACAUCCGGGUUUGUCCCAAUGGAUUUACCGGAUAGGGUUUUAAUAAGGUCAAAGGCUAUACCAACACACGGCCGCGGUUCAGUACGUGCUUGGUUCACGGGUCAGAAGCUCAAGAGAUAUUUUUGCUUCAGCUCAAGGGUCAGUCAAAGCUAGACGAAGAGUUAGUCCAAGUUUUUCGUCAAAAUCAUUUAUUUUCUUUGUAAUUUCUUAUGCAUGACCCUUGGUCUAAUCUGCCCCUAUAUAAAGGGAUGAACCCUUCUCAUUUUCGGUCAUUCACUUUUCUUAAUAAAAUUUUGAGACUUUUCUCCUUUGUUUUUUUGAAAACUUUGUUGAUUCUCAGGUGGUUAGCCUAGAAUUAUUUUCGGUUUAUCAAGUUCAAUCCAUAAAACUUGAUGCAGCUUUCGUCUGCAAAGUUUAAAGUUUUCGUUUGUCGUAAUCGGGGCUUAGGGAUUUUCGGGAACCUAGUUCUCACGCCUUAACAUCCUUUUACCGACGAGUUCUUUUUAUCUUUGUUCCACCCCCUUGUUUCAAACUAUUCUUCGUGAGUUUGGGCCUAAGAAUUUUCGGGAGUCUUCUUUCACGCCUUAGCAUCUGCUCCAAGAGUCGUUCGGACUUAAGGAUUUAUCAACCGCCGGUCCAAGUGUGUGAAGUCCUUAGGGAGAUCGUAUCAAGUGGUAUCAGAGCCACACACUUGAAGAAUUCGGUAUUAUCUUUCUUUUUGUUUCUUUAACUUCCGCCUUAUCUCAUCUUUUUUUGUAAUCUUCCAGAUCUAUUUAAAAAAAAAAAUAGAAAGAAACUCUAUUAAAAAAAAAAACAAAAAUUAGUCAAAAAAAGAAAAAAAAAGAUCUGUGAACUCAAAUUCUUUUCUUUCUAUCUUCUCGUUUUCUUCUUCAUACUCGCUUGAUUUUCUGAUUUGGUUUUGGAUCUACAUCGGUCUCGAUUUAGUUCCUUUAGAACCGAAGAAAGUCUCUUGUGUGUGUGAAAAUAUUAAGAGUGCUGAGUGAAACACUGAGUGAAACACCAAGUGAGGAAUUUUAAUACUAACGUGUUUGUUCUUUUUACGAGGUACCAAUUUUUAUGUCAUCGGGUCCUUAUUCAGACUCAGGUGGAGAGUGGAACUACUACACCUUUCAUGACGGGAACCACAUUCGUUGGAUCAAUCCGGAAGAAAUGGAUGCCAAGCUCAACCAAAUCACCGAACUGAUGGAACGUAUGAACCAGCGAAUGGAUCGGCUGGAGAUGCAGCCACGGCAAUCCGAUGGAGAACGAAGUAAUGGCCGAAUCCGUGACGAGCCAGACCAUCUAAGGAGAGACCGCAAGCAAGAGGAAGUCCUAGACAAUCCCUUUUACGCAGACGGCCACACAUCUGGAGGAAGCCGUACUAGACCGCGAUAUCAUCGAGGCGUUCGUCGUGAUUGGGCAGAACGACGCGAGCCAAACCACGGGUCCGACCGCGGUCGAGAGGAUCAACACCAUGGACGAUACCCUGCGGCCCGAAACUGUGAACCAGCUGAUCUAUAUCAGGAGCCGUACCGCAGACAAGAACGGUGUGAACCAGAUGCAUCUCGAGGCCGACCUGAUAACAACCUUGGCGGGCUGAAGUUGCGAAUACCGCCCUUUUACGGGAAGAACGAUCCUGACGCUUACCUGGAGUGAGAGAAAAAGAUUGAAACCGUGUUUGGUUGCCAGAAUUUUACAGAGAGAAAGAAGAUCAAUCUGGCAGCUACAGAGUUCCACGGCUAUGUUGUAGAUUGGUGGGAUCAGAUCGUCACCAACCGGAGACAGAACGGGGAUCGACCCAUUGAGACAUGGGACGAGAUGGUGGGUCUAAUGCGACGACGGUUUGUUCCAAGCUAUUAUAACCGGGAACUACACAACAAACUUCGGCGAUUGACCCAGAGCACUAAAAACAUUGAGGAUUACUACCAGGAGAUGAAGCGGCUGAUGCUCAAGGCUGACGUGGAAGAACCGGAAGAUGCUACUAUGGCGCGGUUCCUCAGUGGUAUGAACCGAGACGUGCAGGAUCGUAUGGAGAUGGAGACCUAUCGGAGUUUAUCCAAUAUGUACCAUAAGGCCAUACUUGUAGAACAGCAGUUAAGGAGGAAGAACACUGUCCGGUAUGGAUCCAGCUCACGGCCCAACGACAAACCGAGUUAUUCUUCCCGAUCCGAUGCCAAGCCUAAGACCGAAUCUAAGCCGACUUCAUCCACAGCCGAUUACAAAGGCAAGACCGAGGCUACACCAGUCAGGAACAGAGACAUUGAGUGCUUCAAGUGCAUAGGUAAGGGGCACUAUGCUAACAAGUGUUCGAACCAGCGGGCCAUGCUACUUCUUGAUUCCGGAGAGAUCAUCAUCGACGAUGAAGAGGACACCAGACCGGUCUAUGAUGGCGAGGAGGAACACGCAGAUGAGGGUGAGUUGCUUGUUUCCAGGCGUGUUCUUAUUUCCCAGGAGCCGGUUAGAGACGAUGAGCAGCGGGAGAACUUGUUCCAUACCUGAUGCUUGGUCAUGGAUAAGGUUUGCAGUUUGGUGAUCGAUGGUGGAAGUUGUACCAAUGUAGCAAGCCAAACCAUGGUUGAGAAGCUGGUCCUAGAGACCAUGAAACACCCCCAGCCUUACAGUUUGUGAUGACUGAACAAUCAAAGGCAACUCAAGGUGACUAAGCAGGUAUCAGUUCCUUUUUCCAUUGGCCGCUAUGAAGACAAAGUUCUGUGCGACGUGUUACCUAUGGAAGCCGGCCAUAUUUUGCUUGGUAGACCGUGGCAGUUUGAUCACAAGACGGUCCAUGAUGGCUACACUAACAAGCACACAUUUGAGCAUAAAGGCCGGAAGAUCACACUUGCUCCUUUGUCACCGCGGAAAGUCUACCUUGAUCAGCUCAAACUUGAGCAAAACAGCAAAGGUAAAAACGUUCUGAGUGACCCCUCAAACACUACCUCCACUAAAAAUGAGAGUGAGGAAAUGAGAAAAACCCAGCAAAUGGCCUUUGAGAGUAAACCCGGGAGGUCAAACACUUCUUUAUUUGUGAGGCCGAGUGAGAUCAAACAUGCUAUGCUUUUAAGACAGCCUUUUGUCUUAUUUGUUUUUAAAGAAGGUUUGGCUAGCACUACUGACCCUAAGCUGGCCCUUCCGAGCAGCAUUUCUUCUGUCUUGCAGGACUUUGCCGAUGUAUUUCCGGAGGACGACCCACGCGGCUUACCCCCGAUCCGAGGGAUCAAACAUCAGAUCGAUUUCAUGCUUGGUGCCUCACUGCCAAACCGUCCUGCUUACCGAACCAAUCCGGUGGAGGCUAAGGAGCUGCAACGGCAAGUCGACGAGCUUAUGGCCAAGGGUUAUAUCCGGGAGAGUAUGACCCCAUGUGCUGUACCCGUGUUGCUGGUGCCAAAAAAGGAUAGAACCUGGAGGAUGUGCGUGGAUUGCAGAGCCAUCAACAACAUAACAGUUAAGUACCGCCAUCCCAUUCCGAGGUUACAUGAUAUGCUAGACGAGUUGCAUGGGUCUUGCAUAUUUUCUAAGAUUGAUUUGAAAAGUGGAUAUCACCAAAUCCGGAUGAAGGAAGGUGAUGAAUGGAAAACGGCUUUCAAAACUAAGCACGGUCUUUAUGAGUGGCUAGUCAUGUCCUUUGGUCUUACCAAUGCACCUAGUACUUUUAUGCGUCUGAUGAACUAUGUUCUUAGGUCUUUUAUAGGUGUUUUCGUUGUAGUUUACUUCGAUGAAAUUUUAAUUUAUAGCAAGACCUUAGAGGAACACGUUUUGCAUUUGAGAAAGGUGUUAGAUGUGCUUAGGCAAGAAUGGCUGUUUGGAAAUUUCAAGAAAUGCUCUUUUUGUACGGAUAACGUUGUCUUUAUAGGCUUUGCUGUGAGCUCGCAGGACAUUCAGGUCGAUGAAGAAAAGAUCAAGGCCAUUCGGGAUUGGCCGAGUCCAAAGACGGUUGGAGAAGUCAGGAGCUUUCACAGAUUGGCUGGGUUCUAUCGACGGUUGUCCGAGAUUUCAGUACCAUAGCCGCACCAUUGACCGAGGUCAUCAAAAAGGAUGUGGGCUUCAAGUGGGAACAGGCUCAGGAGGACGCCUUCCAUCUUCUAAAACACAAGCUUACUCACGCACCCUUACUUGUCUUACCAGAUUUCUUUAAAACCUUUGAAAUUGAAUAUGAUGCAUCUAGUGUAGGUAUCGGGGCUGUGCUGAUGCAGGAGAAGAAACCAGUCGCGUUCUUUAGUGAAAAACUGGGUGGAGCCACUCUUAACUACCCAACCUAUGACAAGGAGCUCUACGCCUUGGUCUGUGCACUCCAAACUUGGCAACAUUACCUCUGGCCGAAGGAGUUCAUGAUUCACACAGACCACCAGUCUCUCAAGCAUCUUAAGGACCAGCAGAAGCUGAAUAAGAGGCAUGCCCGGUGGGUGGAAUUCAUAGAGACAUUUCCGUAUGUUAUCCAAUACAAGCAAGGCAAGGAAAACGUCGUGGCCGAUGCUUUAUCCCGGAGAUACACACUGAUCUCUAUCCUGGACGCCAAGGUCCUUGGUUUCGAACUGAUUAAGAAAGCUUAUGCUUCUGAUCCAGAUUUCCAGGAAGUUUACGAAUCCUGUCUUAAGUUUGCUUCGGGAAUAUAUUUUCGGAAUGAUGAUAUCUGUUUUAUGAGAAUCGCCUUUGCAUACCUAACGUUUCUCUUCGUGAUUUACUUGUUGGGGAGGCUCAUGGAGGCGGUCUUAUGGGACAUUUUGGAGUAACUAAGACUCUGGCCGUGGUACAGGAACACUUUUUUCUGGCCACACAUAAAACGAGAUGUGGAACGGAUCUGCAGUCGGUGCACGGCCUGUAAGUACGCUAAGUCCAAAAGCUAAAACCAAGGUUUGUACUCUCCUUUACCCAUUCCUAUUGUACCUUGGACCGACAUAUCGAUGGACUUUGUGUUAGGUCUGCCUAGGACUAGACGUGGUAGGGACUCGAUCUUUGUUGUGGUAGAUAGGUUUUCGAAAAUGGCACAUUUUAUACCAUGCCAUAAGACCGACGAUGCAUCAAAUGUUGCUGAUUUUUUCUUUAGGGAAGUUGUGCGUUUGCAUGGAAUGCAUAGGACCAUAGUCUCGGAUAGAGAUACAAAGUUCCUUAGCUAUUUCUGGAAGACCCUCUGGUCUAAAUUAGGAACCAAGCUUUGUUUCUCUAUGACUUGUCACCCACAGUCCAACGGUCAAACCGAGGUGGUCAAUAGGACCUUGUCUAGUCUUUUGAGGUCUGUGAUUAAGAAGAACAUUAGGACUUGGGAAGAUUGUUUACCCCAUGUCGAGUUUUCUUACAAUCAUGCUGUGCAUUCUAGUACUUUGUAUUCACCAUUUCAGCUUGUAUAUGGUUUUAAUCCGCUUACUCCUUUGGAUCUCACUCCUUUACCUUUGAGUGAACGUGUAAGUAUGGAUGGCAAAAAGAGAGCUGAGUUGGUUAAGCAGAUGCAUAAGAAAGCCAAGAUGAACAUCGAGCAUAAGACGGAGCUGUACCGAAAGUAUGCCAACAAAAAUCGGACUGAGAAGGAGCGAUUUCCGGAAGAGAGAAAAUCCAAGUUGCUGCCAAAAGUGGACGGUCCCUUCACCAUUUUGGAGAAGAUCAAUGACAACGCUUACAAAAUUGAUCUCCAAUGUAAGUAUGCUGUUAGUUCCAGUCGGGGGGGGGGGGGGGGAAGAAGGGAACAUGGAACCAGAGGCUGAACCACGGGUCAAAGAUCAAGUCAUGGAGCAGGAACCGGACGCGGCUUUGGUCAUUCCGGACGGGCCAAUGACGAGAUCACGCACCAGGAGGUUGGCCAGAGCCGUUCAGAAGAUACUUACCGAGCUCAGGAACCAGAACAUGGAACCAGCAACAACAGAAGCCAUGACCCUUCUCACGUACCAGGGUACUUACUGACUUCAGUCUGGUAUAGUUUUUGGUACUCUUUUUCCUUACAUCUGGGUUUGUCCCAAUGAGUUAACCGGAUGGGUUUUAAUGAGGUCAAAAGCUAUACCACCACACGGCCGCAGUUCAGUACGUGCUUGGUUCACGGGUCAGAAGCUCAAGGGGCAUUUUCGCUGAAGCAGCUCAAGGGUCAGUCAAAGCUAGGUGAAGAGUCAGUCCAAGUUUUUAGUCAAAAUCAUUUAUUUUCUAUGUAAUUUCCUAUGCAUGACCCUUGGUCUAAUCCGCCCUUAUAUAAAGGGAUGAACCCUUCUCAUUUUCGGUCAUUCACUUUUCUUUAUAAAAUUUUGAGACUUUUCUCCUUUGUUCUUUUGAGAACUUUGUUGAUUCUCAGGUGGUUAGCCUAGAAUUAUUUUCGGUUUAUCAAGUUCAAUCCAUAGAACUUGAUGCAUCCUUCGUCUGUAAAGUUUAAAGUUUUCGUUUGUCGGAAUCGGGGCUUAGGGAUUUUCGAGAACCUAGUUCUCACGUUUUAACAUUUUCUUACCGACGAGUUCUUUUUAUCUUUGUUUCACCCCUUGUUUCAAACUAUUCUUCGUGAGGUUAGGCCUAAGGAUUUUCGGAAGUCUUCUCUCACGCUUUAGCAUCUGCUCCAAGAGUCGUUUGGAGUCAAGAAUUUAUCAACCUUCGGUCCAAGUGUGUGAAGCCCUUAAUAAGAUCGUAUCAUUUAUUUAGUAGAUCUGAGUGUUUCUUGAAUUAUAUUUGUCCAUAAUCCAAAAAUGGAACAGAGGAAACAGCAUGACACGUAAAGUAAUUAACUUUCUAUGUAGAACUAGUCUGCUCCAUGGAAGUUUGCUUCGGGUAAGCAACUCAAAUAUUACUUAUACUUUAUGCGUUUGUUAGUGGCAAUCAAAAACAAACUAAACUUCUUCAUGCUUUGUGUUUUUCCCUUUUACUUGUAUAGUUCAUAGAUCUGAUAAGUGACACAAAGUGGUAAAUGAAAAAAAGAGAACAGUAAAUAGUACCAAAAAUACUUAAAGAAGAAAAAAAUAAUGAUACAAAAAGUUGAAAAUAUCGUUUUUGGUACGCUAGUUCUUACUGUAUUUGUGAUUGUAACUACUGAAUUGAUAGAGUCCACAGUAUGAAAUCAGUAAAUUACCAAUUAAACAUUUGUACCGCACUGUGUUCUCUCAUUACUGAAAACUACUCAUUUUAUAUAUAAAUAUAACUGAGAUUUUUUUUACCGAAAUCUAAAUUAAUUUUUUAAUUUUUAGAUAUAUAAAAAAAUUAAAUAUUUUAGUUAUUUGAUGACAGUGACUAACAAUAAUUGGAAUCAAGGCCGACUAAAAGCCACUCCAACCAGACAGCAAAACACUAAAUUUGGUGUUAAAAUUACUCCAACCGAAUGGUAUAUGAGACGCUAUAUUUUUGUUUUUGCCGUUUCAUGAACAGUAUCACACCAUAUUUGGUAUAACACUCUUCAUCACACUAAAUAUUAAAAUAUUAUUAUUUUUAGUUGUUCUAUUAUAUAAUAUAAUUAGUUUGUUGUUUAUUCAUUGAUUAAAUAUGUAGCUAAAAAAAAUAUGACAUUGAUAUUUUUGUAUAAAUCAUUUUAAUGAUACAAAAAUUUAUUUGUAACAUAAUAUUUUUUCCCUCAAAUAAGAAUAUUUUAAAUAUAUAUAUACUUUUAUUUUAUUAUUAAUUACAAAGAACACUCAUUAUUUCUAAAUUUAUAAAUUAUACACAAAUAUUUACUUGUUAGUUUUGAUUUUUGGCUUUAUGGAUAUGUUCUACUAAAUGUUUUAAUGGUUUUAUAGAAAAACUUUAAUAUACCACACUAUCUCUUUGUGUUAACUUUAUUUUUUUUAAAUAUAAUUUUAAUUACAUAAUUUAAAUAUUUGUUUGUUAGUUUUGACUUUUGGCUUUAUGGAUAUGUUAAACUAAAUGUUUUAAUAGUUUUAAAGAAGUAUUUAAUAUACCAAACUAUCUCUUUGUCUUAAUUUUAUUUUUUAUUAAAAUAUAAUUUUGAUUACAUAAUUUAAAUAUUUGCUUGUUAGUUUUGAUUUUUGGUUUUAUGGAUAUGUUGUACUAAAUGUUUUAGUAGUUUUAUAGAAGAAUUUUGAUAUAACAUGUUUUGGUAUAAAACCUUAUAAGAAAUUUUAUAAACUUUUAUAAGAAAUCUUAUAAAUCUUUAUAAAUAGUUAUUGAUCAAUACUUAAAAAAAAGAAAAUUUAAAUAUAAUAAUAUAACAAUAAAGAAUAUUCUUUUUAGUGUGAAAUAUAAUGUUAUGGUUGGAGAUAGAAAAAAAAGUAGAACACUAUAACAUCAAAUUUGGUGUUAUUUUUACACUAAAUUUACCGUUUAGGUUGGAGAUGAAAACCUAAACGGAUCAGUAUAGGUGUACAACCUUCUAAAAAUAAAAAUCGGCUAUGUUUAUAAAUCGGUUUCUUUUCAUUUUACCAUAUAUUUUGCAACCUUCUUAAACUCAAAACCUACUUUGAUUGAUAACACAUAGAAAUACUAGAAUUUCGAUUCAUCCAAACCUCUCUCCAACACUAAAAGCAUAUGGUAUUCAACUGAGAAAAAACAGUUGGACGGUGUCGCAAUUAUUUACUUGACUCAAUAUGAGUCAUGACUAUAUGCCUUCUAAACGUAGAUUCUUCAGAAAAGUCAAUUCACCGCAGUAAGAUUUGGUGUUCAAAAUUCAUAAUAAGAAAAUUUAGUUUAGUUUUUUAUUUUAUUUUUUAAGCUAUGAAAAAUUAGUUUUUAAAUCAGGAAACUUUGGAAUAUAAAUAUAAAUAAAAAAGCCAUAGUUCAGAUUUUGUCUAUAUAUUUAAUAAAAGACAUAGUUCAGAUUUUAUUUAUAUUUUUAAUUACAUACAUGCAGAAGUCCUAAUGACCUUAGGAUAUGAUCUAUAGCCUGACUCGCAAUAACACACGCCACGCUAAAUUAAAAGUUUGAUACGAGCCGUGUGAACUAACUAUGAUUUAUUAUGACCACUAAAGUAUGAAAAUUAUGUUCCUUUCUAGCAAAUUUAAGCCGUUAAUCAUUCAAAAAAAAAAUUAAGCCGUAAAAUAGAAUGAAAAUAGCGUAGAAGAUAAUAAACGAAUAAUUGGCACGACGUUAAGCGUAACUUUACAUGGAAUGAUAGGGAGAAAAGUAGAUUUCACGUCAAUUAUUUAUAUUUUUUUCCUUUUUAUUUGCUUUGCUUUAGUGAUAAUUCACAUUAACUGGUAAUACACACCAUGUGAGAAAUGUUCAAAAAGGAACAGAGUAGGACAAGCUCGAAAGAUAAUUGUUUACCUGUCAUUUGUCUUGUCGCACUUUCUAAUUGUAUUUUGAGAACUCUAUUAUUAUUUUAUUAAAAACACUUAUCAUCUAAUUAGUCACUGUUAUAUUACCAAAAUUAGUUUAGUAAUAGACUAAUAGAAUAAGUCAAGGUAAUACGUCUUGUGCGCAAAAUUGAAAAUUCAAUCAAAAUGAUCUUUUCAAUUUAAAACGUCAGUCUCGUAAUUGUCUUUGUCCUACAAUUACAUUGCCACCAAAUGUAGUAGAUGUAAUGCAGGACAACUCGUUAAUAUUUUAUUUCUAUUUUACUUAUUUAAUUUUUAUAAUUCAACCACUAAUUACAACAAUAGAUUAUUCAAGUGAACGAAUCAAUUUAGAAUCAUUGAUUGAAAACUGCGAACGACACGGCCGGUUGAAACCUGAUCCACAAAUUGUCCCAAACAAUUAAUAUUUUGAACCAAUCUAUAAAAAUUAUUAAUGCCUUCGGGGGGAGACCAAUCAAUUUGAUUUCUCGUUUGAAUAAUGUAGAUCGGUUCAAAUUUCUUAGUUAAGAAAAUCAAUGAAAUUGGAUAAAAAUAAGAAACAAAUACUCCCUCCAGAUUUAUUUAGUUGUCGUUUUAAGGUUAUGCACACAGAUUAAGAAAAUAUUAAUUGUAUUAGUUUUUCAAUAUAAAAACAUCAUUAAUUAUUUAUUUAAACACAAUUUAACUAAUAAUAAAACAAAUUGCAUAAUAAAAAUAAUUAUAAAAAUUAAAAAACUAAUAAAUGUUACAUUAAAAACUGAAAACGACAAUUAAUUUAAAAUAAACAAAAUUUUCUAAAACGACAACUAAUAAAAAACGGAGGGAGUAAUAAUUUGUAACAAACUACAAAAUAAUGAUUAUAUAUAUAUAAUUUAGAUAACAAAUAAAUUUUUGUGUUCUUCAUCUUCAAUGAUGAUAAGAAAAUACGAAUAAAUUUAGGUUACUUCUUUUUUUAUGUGGGUAGCUUUGCAUCAUCCAUGUAUUACUCCAAUUAUUAAUUUUCAAUCGCUCUCAGUGCAAAAAGUAUGUAAAUAAAAAAGUAUUAACAGAAAAUAUCGAAUUGUUUUUCCUUUCUCUAAAGUACUGUCUAAUCAGUGACAAAAAAAUACAUAAGAUAGACGUUUAAAAAAAAUACACAAGAAAAAAAUAAAAAAAUUUAUGUGAUGCUCAACCCUAAAAUACUAAUGCAGGUGAUAUGUAUCUGAAAUUAGCAGCCUCUUAAAUUAAAAAAAAAUCUAGAUUUAAACAUUGAUAAAGACAAACUAACAUAUCAAACAAAAAACAAUUACACCACAACAAUCUAAAUCAAAUAAAAUAAAAAAGACUGAAAGAAGGUUGGCAAUAGGACCCACAAAACACACUGUCAGAAAAUCUUCAGAGUUUCAGAGAAGAAGAAGAAGAAAGAAAAAGAAGAAUCAAACAGUAGUAAAUCCCAGGAAUAUUAUAUUUUCUUACCAAAUCAAAAAACCUAUCUCUUCUUAUUCUUGUCUCUUCCAUUUCCAGAGAAUAUAGAUCCUAAACCAAACAUAUUCCCAGAAGGGACCAUGUUUAUAACCGGACUCACUCUAAUCCCUCCUCCAUGGCUUCCAUAACUGUAACCUCCGUAAUUUUUCUUCAAUGGCGGUUUCUGAAAGCUACUGUUACUCGAUGUAGAAGAAGAAGAUGAUGAUGAUGAUAAAGACGACGAUUGUUGUAGCUUUAUAUGCUCUGUUGUGUGUUUCCUCGAGCUCUGUUUCGGUUUACUCGACGUAGAACCGGUCGAAUUACUCCGGUUUAGUAACGGUAACGGACAUAGACUCCGUCCGUAACUACUUCCACAGUUUAAACUGCUGCUUCUCUUAAACCCCCAAAACGACUUCGUAUUGGGUUUCUCCUCCGUUACGGAGACGUCAUCGUCUUCUUCAACCGGUUUCCUCUGUUUCCUAAAAUCCGGUUUAGUCGGUUCGGUUGGACCGGUAUCGGGACCUUUCUGACCCGGAUUGCGUUUCUCGGGCGGUGGCGAUUCGGGUUUCUUCUUCUUCUUGAUUUCUGUUGGCAAGAUUUGUCCGUUACGGAAGAGUUCGUCGGCGGACCAAGAGCCUUGGUCGAAGCUUUCGGCGGAGUUUACGCCGCCGGGAAUGCAGAAAUCGAAAUCGAUGCUUGAAUUGAGACUGGACGGUUUCGAAUUCGACGAUCGUAAGGGACGUUUCUCGAUCGGAAUUGCAUCGGAUUGACAAAAGUCACGAGAAAAUGAGAUUCUUGGACUCAUAUUAGAAUUUUCCGAUAGAAGAUCCACCGCCAUUAUAGCAAAACGAACAAUUUCCGAAUUCUGAGAGAAAAGGAAGAGACUUUCUUGAAUAUUGAUAGAAAGAUAGAGAGACGUGGAGAGAUAUUUGGGGAAGAAGGUGAAGGUGGAACGAUAGGAAGGGUUAGAAUUUAAUUUAUAUUUUUUACAAGUGAAUUAAAUUUAAAUAAGUGUUUUGAUUUUGAUUUAAUAAAAUGGAAAAUAAAUAAAAAGAAUUUUCGGGUGAAAGAAAUUGAAAAAGUGAAAGGGAAGGAAUAAAUAAAGAAAUGCUAAUAGAAGAGGGGACAGAGAAGCGUGUCUCUUGCUACAUAUUCACAUGCAUGGGCCAAAAAAGGAUAUAUGUUGGUUCUUCACUUUGUACAAUUUUAUUUUCUAUGGUAUAAUUUUAUUUGAUGUAUAUCUUUUGAAAAUUCUUUUAAGAGAGGCUAUUUGGAUCAUUGAUCUGGGAAGAUAUGGAAUUUUUUAUAAAAUCCACUCUUAUUGGAUGUCCAAUAUUUCAAAAAGAUAAUGCAUUUCGGAAAUCUCUUCAUGUUAUAGGAUAUACCAUGUCAAAUUAUUUUACAAUAAUAUACAAUCUACCAUUAUUAUUUUGAAAGUUUAUAAACUAACAAAAAAAAAUCUAGGGUUAUUGAAUCAUUUCUAACUGUAAAUAAAGAGUCUGAAAUUUUUCAAAGAUUUGAAUAUAUGUACUUAUAGUUAUAUACUCAACCCCUUGAAAAUCUCUAGAAAAACUGACUUUUUUGGAGAUUUUUAGAAAUAAUAUUUCAAAUUUAUCAUUUUUUGUUGACUGAAUUAGGUUUACUGGGUACUAUAGAUGGGAGAUAUAGGUUUUUCCGACUCUGAUACAAUGAAAUAUAUUUUGAGACUAAAUUUUCUUUGAGUAUAUAUAGCUUCAAAAUAAGAAUGAUCAACUGAAGAUACCUUGAACAAAUGAAUGAAAAAAUGUAGUAUGUAUUUAUUUUUUAUGAUUCUCGAUGUUAACAAUGAUUUUGCUAAGUCUUUUGCGUAUGGGGAAGAUGCUUCUUUCAUCGAUCCUUCUGCUUUUAUAGCAUUCCAAAACUAAUUUCUCCGGUCAUUACAAGAAUUAAAUUCGUAUUAAUUCUUUCGAUUUAACCGUUCCCCUUUUUUAUUCUUCGGGCUUUGAACAAUUCUUGCUUUGCGAGGUAAUCAUCUUCUUUGUUUCUUUUGGUAUUUUUUUUUUUUAUUAGUCCACUGAAUUUGGAUGAUUUACUUUAAUUUAUUUGUGUAUUGUUCUCUCUAGGCUGUCAUGGAUCAGGUUCAUAGUGAAAUCCAACACUAAAAACAACGAUAUGAUCGAAAUUUUGAGAGCAGGUAGAAGAAUCUCUAAUAAUUUCAAAUAUAAAAUAAUCCACCAAAACUUUAACCUGGUUUGUAGCAAAUAAGUUUAGAGUGAGAUUAAUUCUCUAAUUGUGUGAGUUCACCACAGCCAAAAAAAACAAAAAAAAGAGCUACAUCCCCGUUAUGAACUUUUUUUCCUUCAGCAAAGGGGAAUCAAAUAAAAACGACUAACUUUUACAAAAAGAAAAAUACGGUUAAUACAAACACUACAAGAAAACAUUACAUAUUCCUACCAGAUAUUUCAUCAGAAAAUCGUAGGAAACCGGCUUUUCCUAUCAAUUUCCUACCAAAUAUUUUUGUAGGUUCUAUGCCGUCAGAAAUUUUCAAAGGUAGAAAAAUCGUAGGAAAUUUCCUACGAAAAUUUUGGUAGAAAAAUUUUGGCGGUAGGAUAUUCGUAAGGAAAAUACCUACCAAAUUACUUCCAUCUUUCUACGAAAUAUUCCUAUCAUUUUCCUACCACUUGAGAUUUUGUAAAAAAUAAAAUUAAUUUUAUAAAUUAAAAAAAUUAAAUUAAUUUCAGAAAUUAAAUUUAAACUAAAAGAUGAAUUAACUAUUAAUUCGAUUAUUAAUAUAUAUAUAUAUAUAUAAACAAAUUAAUUAAAAGAGAGAUGAAAAUCUUAUUUAUAGAAUAGCUUCAUCAUCCAAAUUGUCUCAGAUCAUCGAUGUGGGACAAAACCAAAGUUGAAAUGUUCCUACAAAAUUCCUACGAUUUUUUUACACAUAAUAUUUCGUCAGAAAUUAGUAGGAAAUUUCCUACGAAAUACUUACUAGUAUAAUGGUCAAUUGUAUCCUAUUACUUUCCUUUCAAAUUUUGACCGCGUGGUAAAUUAUUGGUAGAAAAUAUCCUACGAAAUUUCGACAUAAUUUUUGGUAGGAAAAUCCCUACCAAUUUCUUAUCACUUUUACUUUUUGUCAAAAUUACGUAGAAAAUUGGUUAUAAAAAUUUCUUACCAAAAAUUUCGUCAAAAUUUUCAUAGGAAUAUGAGAUGUUUUCUUGUAGUGAAACAAUUUAGCAGUACAAAUACUUGAAAUCUACAUAAACUUAGUCGGAUGUUAAAAACAAACAAGAAAAAUUUUUUAUGUAUAAUAUCUCAUACAAAAUACACUGCAUUUUUCUGAAAUGUCCUUCCAAAAUUGCACAUCGGUUUUUGAGUAAUUGGAGGAAAUAACAACAUGUUACUUACAUAAAAAAAUGUUUAGUUUUUGUCAUUUGACAAACUCGCUCUUGGUUUUUUUUAGCUCACAAAAAGAAAAUCAAAAGUUACAGAAAAUAUUUAGAUCGUAUCAAAACCCAAUCAAACCCAAAGUCAAUAAAAGUAAUCUAAAUCCAAUGAUAAGUCAAAAAACAUAUGUGCAAUGUUUGAAAUGUUUAGAGAGUCAACGUUGGGAUUCGUGUUGACUAAUGUGAUGAAGCAUUGAACAUAGACCAAUGGUGCCAAGUCACCGACCCGAGACUUUAACCAUACUAAAGUUUCGUCACGAACUCUAUCAAGUUAAAGAAGUGCAUUCACAUAUUUUAAACCAAAUCAAUGAUGCUUUUACUAUGGUGUACUAGGAAAUGCUACAUUUUAAAGUAUUCCUGAUGAACAAAUUUCAAACGAACACAUGUCUCGCUUCUACAUAUCCUUAUAUGUUGCUUGCGAUAACUAUAACCAAGUAAAAACAAAUAUAUUAGGUAAUCAGGUAUUCUAAAUGCUAGAAAGAUUAGUUGAAAUUUUAGCAAAAAAUGGUUAGAUGAUAGUAUAAUUCUUAUAAAGUAUAAGAAUAAUAAAAAGAAAAAACACGGUGGCAUUGUUGAUACUCCCCAAUCAAUACGAGCAGACACAUAUCAUAUAUAUAUCAAAAUUCAAGAAUAUAUAAGAUUUUAGGUUAGACCAUAACACAUAUGCGUUGUUAUCCACUUUUGUAAGUUGAAUAUGAAAUAUUUAUCUGGUAUCCUUUUACAAAAAAGAUUAAAAAAAAAAUGAAAUUCAUGUAUCUGAUCUAAGAUUUCGUUAUGUUUUUUUUUUUUCAUUGUCACGAUUGUAUCUUCAUUCCUUUUAAAUUUAGUGUCUACUUAGUUCCGUUGUAUACUUCUUAUACAUACCACUUGUAAAGCAGUGACAAAACCCUAAUUUCUAGUACUUAUAGUCGAAAGUAUACUUUUUCUUUUAAAACCAAAAAUUUCUGAGUCUAGACCCAUAAUAUUUUUGCCGGGAAUUAGACCAAGUUAAUUUAGUCUCUUUCCCACCGUCAAUUCUUUGAACCCAAAAAAAUGGGUUAGUUACCGAAGGCGGAUUAUAUUCAACAAUUAAUUCAAAUAUAGCUUCCUAUUUCAAGGAAAGAAAUAUUACUCAAAUAAAAUGAACUUCUGUGUAUUCUAACUAGAUGGGUCUUUAGUGAUAGAGAAGUCCAAACUCCUUCAUUUUAAUGAAUCAGACGAAUCAUAAGAGUUUGCUUUUAUAAAAAAAAAAAGAGCUUGCUUUUCAUCAAAAUAAAAAUCGAUUUUUGCUUAAAGUGAAAGUAAAGAAAUUGUUUGUGUGAUAGAAAGAAAAGAGAAAAGGAGAUUUCAUAUUAUCUAGAGAAUGAUAAGGAAAUUACAAAACAAUAUACACUUGUGAAUUAUAUAUGAAAACAGAAAAACAAAGUAAGCAUGGGCAUGGGUCCGAUGGCUACGUACUUACCGAAAACGAAGAAAGCCACUUAGAGAAACUGAAGGGUUGAUAAAUGGUCCACGUUUUCCCCUAAAUCCUUUCUUUUCAUAACCAUUGGGUCGCCCAUGAGCCCACCUAAAACCAACCCGACCCGAUUAGAUCCAACCAAGAAUUGUCUACUCUUCUUGAUCACUUUGCCUAUUUUGGCUGCUCUCGGUAAUAUUAACAAGAAGUUGUCCAAUUCGGUUAGGGUUUGGUUAUGAUGACAGAGAGUAAAAGAUGGUCCUGUCCGACAAAUAGCAUUGGUGCUGUUUUGCUAACAAGUACCGAACUGCUUUGUUCAGACCAAAAACAAAAAAUAAUCAAUCUGCUUUGUUCUCUACAGAAAUUGAUUAUAAAAGCUGAAAUGGUAAAAAAAAAAAAGUUGUUUCCCUUAAGUCAUGAAAAGAAGAAAUAUUGUUUUUGGUUCCGUUUGAUUUAUCAAUCAAUAUGGCCUGAAUCAAUAUGACCACUGAGAUAAUCAUCCAAAUCCAGAGAUAUGCAUGGUCGUCGCCCUCGUAUUAGAGAGGGUUGUGUGCAUGCUCAUAGGCUUACUUACAGUCCAAUUGACCUCACCAAAGUGAUAGAUUCCUUUCCCAAAAUCUUUUUGUGAAUAUGAAUAACAUAUUUCUUGAUGAUUUUUUUAUAGAUGCAACAGUAAAAAAUCUGUCGGAGGAUCUCUCGCCUACAUUUUAGUUUGCAUAAAAAAUGUGAAGUUUGGUUUACAUUUAAUGUAUACGAUUAUGGAUGUGGAUCUAUCGAUCUGUGUAUGUCAUUUUGAUGAUUCUUGGACGAGUGACGGUGCAACUAGUGGUUCUUGAUGGAUUAAUGGCACAUCCAGUUUAUUGGGUGAAAUCUCAACACCUUCAUCUUUAAACUCCAUAAAUGAUUUGGACAAUGAAAUGUCAACAACAUAAUCACGAUUUAUUUAUAUUUUGUGAAGGUUUUUAUAUGAUGACUUCUGCACCAAAGUUACAUGAAUUAGCCAUGAUUAUUAAGUUUUUAUCUAAAAGUUACAUGAAUUAGCCAUGAUUAUUAAGUUUUUAUCUAAAAGUUACAUGAAUUAGCCAUGAUUAUUAAGCUUUUAUCUAAAAGUUACAUGAAUUAGCCAUGAUUAUUAAGCUUUUAUCUAAAAGUUACAUGAAUUAGCCAGGAUUAUAAGUUUUUAUCUAAAAAUGAGUUAAUUCGUCAAUUACAUAUACAAACAACGUUUAGGCAGAUUUCGUUGCUUCAAUAAUUAAAACGUUUAAAUUCUAUUUCGUUGCUUCAAUAAUUUAAAACGUUUAUUCUCUUUAGUAACUUUAGUUGUGAUGCAUCGAACUUUGUUUGUAUAAUAAAGUUGCAUAUGCUUGUUGACACAAUAUUCUCAGUUUUCUAGCAUUGAUAAGCAUUUGUAGACGAUCAAAGAACCAUGUAGGAUACAAAUUAGUUGUCAAUAAUCUAAAAUACAAGUUAUAAUGACUUUGUACCUUACAAUCUUACACCACUUAUACAUUACAAUUCUGUUGGUCCAAACCACCUAAGAAAGAAAAAAAGAAAAGAUGAAGAUCGUUAUACCAAACAAAAAAAAACCCGCCAAUUUUCUAAAUUAACCCUUUUUAUUAGUAAAGUUUUCUAAAAAUCAACUUUUUUUUUGUCAACAACUAAAACCAAUCUUAGUCAAAUUUUUGAGUUAUCCAAAAGAAGUCGACAUUUUCGUUAGUUCCAAAAUAGCUCAAACUUUAGAGUUAUCUAAUUUUUUUGAUGAUACUACGUAACAAGUUUAACAUUCAAAAAUUACUCUAAUCGAAACAAACUUGAAAGAAAAAAACUGCUGUGGAAAUAAAUAAUACGCGUUAUCUUGAAAAAAAUAGGAAAACUAAACGCGCGAUUUGGUCAAUGUGGUCGUGGAUGGGUCACCUAAUCUUUUUAAUUUCCCUCUAAAAAAAGAAGAAAUAAAUUUUCUCCCAAUUUCCUCGAAGAAGAACAUUAGAAAAUAAAAUGUCAGGAACUGAAAAAAACUACGAAACCAAUCAGAUUCGGCCAUUUCUUUCCCUCUUUUCUUUUUUCUCCCAAUCACUCUUCAGAUUCCGAAAAAAAAAGCAAACAAAGAAAGAAAAAAUAGAUUCUUUAUCACCGGAGUUUUCACCGGACUCUUAAAAGAUGAAUACGCCGAACUGGGAACUCCGGAGUUGCUGUAACCGAAACCAGAACACGUUCCUCAUCACCAUCGGAAUCUUCACCGUCGUUAUCCUUGUGGUUAGUUUUUCCCAUCUAAUGUCCUUGAGAGAAAGAGUUUAAAGUUUUGACCUUUACUUGUUUUCUUCGAUUCAAAUUGAAGAUCCGACAAAUUUUUUUGUAAAAGUUAGUUUAAAGGGUAUCUCGAUUGUAGUGUUUUAUGCAACUGUUGACUUAUAAUUUCAUUCAAAGUUUGUGACUUUUGGCAUCAUAAAGUUUCUAUAUUUGUUCUUGUUUCUUAAGAUCUUCACAGAGAUUUCUUGGUUUUGUUUUUAACAGCUAUGGAGGACAUUUCUAUUGACUCCAUUUAAACUAAUCACGGUGUUUUUGCACGAAGCGAGUCAUGCUGUUGCUUGCAAGCUCACAUGUGGAGAUGUAAGGAAGCUCUCUCACUUCAACUACUACUUCAAUGAAACUAAAAAAGGUUACAAAACUGAUUUUAGGUGUAAACCCUUAAUUCAGUUUGUAAACUUGAAUUGUCCUUUUGAUUUGUUAAAUUAUACUGGUUGAUUUGUGAUCCACUUUGCGAGCAUAACAUCUCUUUAGAUAUGCACAUUUACCAGUCGAAAGGUUUGCUUUAGCAUUGAUGUCUCUGCAUUUUCUCUGGACAUGACUGUUUAGCAUAGAGUGGAUUUUAGCAUCUUGAUUCAGUUUGCAAACAUAAACCGUCUGCUUCGAUAUGGAAAAAUACACUUGGAACUCAGACUAAUUUUAGGUUCCUUGAAAGUUUAAAUGCGGUCGGGGUUCGCUUUGAAUAGGCAGAGAAGAUGUUUUUGUUAUCAUCCACUACUCGCAUGGCUUUCUUUAGCAACAAUACCUUGUGUAGAUUGCUUUAGCAAUGUUUGUCUUUGGAUAUGGCUGUUUAGCACGAUCGUAAAGUUGGCAUCUUGAUGUCGAGUUACGAUAUCCUUAUUUAUUGUGCCAUUCGCUAUAUUCCUCAUUUGGUAAACAUUGUUUUAUCCUCACUUGUAUAUGAUUCUCGCUCUAUUGCUAAUAUGUAAACUACUAAUAUACGAAUAUACGUCAUUAGUCUAAGAAGCCAAGACACACAGUUAGCUCAAACCUUAGCUUUAGGUCGACCGUAGCGUAGGACUAAAUGUUAACAGAUUAUAGCUGGCUGCUGGUCUGAGUUUGUGAGAAAGCAGUUAGUGAAAGCGAAAUCUGUAAAGAUGUCUCUGCAGAUUGUUAAGGCUGUAGAAUUUAUAGAAUUUGAUUGGGAUUCCGGAUGAAAGCCUUUUCAUUAAUAAGUUUCUCUAGUUGGUGAGUGUUAUAAGAAUAGCAGUGUACAGCUUAGCUCUUAUCAUAGUUCCAAUAAUGCAGAAAAGAUAGUAGAUAAGUUACACCGCUCAGCCCAAAAAAAAUCUUUGAUUAUGUAUUGAUUGCACAUUAUUUUCAUCAAAUGCGUGCAACAUUCUCUAUGUUAAUCUGCAACUUCAUUUUUUCAGUUUGCACUUUGCACAGUCGCAUAUAAUAUGGAUAUUGUGUGCCUAAAAACAAAUGUGGCUAAUUUUUGUUUGAACUUAAUCUUCUUCGUAUUGAAUCAAAAAGGUGGAGGGGAUGGAGGUGAAUGCAAAUGAAGGAGGUUCCACAACAACACGUGGCGGCAUCUAUUGGCUGAUCUUACCUGCUGGCUGUAAUAUACAAUCUGUCUAUCUCCCUUAAACAAAUCAACCAUUUUCAAAUUUGGACCUUCCAUUGUUGAUGGCUAAAAGUGUUACAUAUAUAUUUGUUGUAAUGGUUAUAGAUCUUGGCUCAUCAUUUUGGGGAAUGGCUUUGAUUCUUGCAUCUACUAAUCUGCUUACAGCAAGAAUAGCUGCUGCUGGUCUCGGUCUUGCUUUAUUCAUCGUCCUCUUCAUUGCCAAAAACGUAAGUAGAAUUCAUUUUUAUCUCAUUGAGGCAUUGACAUCAAACCAAUGACAUCCAAAUUUUCAACCUUGACAGUGGACGCUUCGAGGUCUUUGUAUAGGUGUGCUAUCUCACGGUUCUUCUUGUUAAAUUUUUCAUUUUUUAGUUCUCAAAAUGAUAGUUGACAAAAAGAUUCUAACAAUCAGUGAAAAAGUCUCUCAGGUUUCAUAGUUUUCCUCGCUAUCAUAUGGGUUCUACAAGAGUUAACUACAGUAAAAAUUCUCCGUUAUGUCAUUCUGUUCAUCGGUAAAUGAACCUCAUUUUGUUCAGUCUUGUUAACAUGUUUGAGUUUCAUCUUCUCCGUAUGAAAGCCAGAUUCUUGAUAUUGCAGGUGUGAUGAAUAGCUUAUUCUCAGUUUACGGUAUGUGUUUCCUUUUCUCUCCCAAUAACUUCACUUAAAGUUAUGAACUUAUGAACAAGAAAGAAGCCUCAUUUGGUUUUGUUCUGCAAUGGCUAUUAGAUAUCUACGAUGAUCUGAUAUCGCGAAGAGUCCAUUCAAGUGAUGCUGAGAAGUUUGCAGAGAUCUGUCCUUGCUGUACUGGUUGUGGCUGGGGUGUCAUAUGGUGAGACUUUAAUCCAAUUUUACACACAAAAAACAACAAAUCUUUGUUUUUUCUUUGUUUCUGACCAAAAAUGGUUUUGAUUUUUCAGGGGAAUGAUAUCUUUUGCGUUUCUUUGCGCAUCAUUGUAUCUUGGGCUAGUGAUCCUAUCAUAAAAAGGUGUUCUUUUGGUUUUGGCUUUCUUGUUUUUUGUUAAGCACAUUUUUGCUUUUGAAUUUUGAUUAAGCGUUUUCAUGAUUUUUGUGAAUUUUUGGUGUCUCUCAGGUUUCAAAUUCUUUCCAGUGAACUGCGGAGUCUCCUUUCUUUCAUCUAUGCGCAGUUUUUUAACAGAAAACAUUUUUUUGAUUAAAAAGCUUGAUUCUUUAGAUCCCUUUGAUGUAUUUACAUUUGAUUGAAAGUUUAGGGUUUAUCAUUUUUUUUUUAUUCAUUUUGGAGUUUGUGUUGAAUAGAAUUCAUUGAUUGUUCUGUUUUAAUGCAUUGUAAGUCCGUUGAUCUUGUCAUCAAAACAAAACUCCGUCGACUUAUUCCUGUAAAUGGUCAUAGUAUCCUCGAUUAGACUUCGUCCUUUCUUCCAAAUUGAUACUUAAACACCAAAAUCUAUUAUAUAAAGACUCAGCUGAGUCUCACAAACUUGACACAUCAGCUUUCGAAAAAAAUAAUUUUCUCAAUUCCAAAAAAAUCUAAUUUAUCAGCCAUGACACAAGUACAAAUCUAGUUUCUAUCUAGAAAAGUCAUUCUCUUACAAUAAAAAGGAAAUGCAUUGAAUUUAUAGUGUUAUUACUUUGUAAACGACACCCGAGAAAAUUGAACGAGGCUAAAAUAAAUUCAUUUUUAUAAAAUGGAGCGGCAUUCCACCUAUUUUUCAUUUUUCUCUUACGCGCUUAAAAAGCUCCAGAAAUCAGGUAUAGCGCAACUGCAGUCACGUUCAUAACCAACAUUAGAAAAGAAUUAAGGUCUUGAAAUAACAUAUCCAAAAUGCAUAUUUCUUGUGUUAAUUUUGUUUUAGUGAUUGUGGUUUUUAGUGUUUCAGAUCAGAAAGGCGAUCAAAUACAUGGAUAUAAUCACUCUACUCUACGUGUCUACGAGGAGGAAAUGAUAACCAAUCCUUCUCUCAUAGAAAGAGAGCUAGGAUCAAGCUGUAUGUAGUGUAAUUACACACUAUAUAUAUAUAUAUAUAUAUUCAUUCCUAUUUUAUGUAUAUAUAUAAGAAAAACUUUAUGUGCCAUUAAAAAAAUUAUUUCUUGUUUCCAUAUUAAUUUAGAGUUUUAUAUGAUGUUUUUUGUUGUUCGCAAAACAUUGAAAAAACCAUAAAUAGUUUGUUUAUUGCAUGCAUGAAAAAUUAUGAUAUCUUUGUAUGCGUAAUGCUCUGGUGCCUAACAAUAUUAUUAGGUUUAGAGCAGAUGAUAUAACAAACGAAGUUGAAGUUUUAGAGGCAUUUUGUCUUCUGUUCAAUUUCUGUUUAUAGUUUUCGUACAUCUUAUAUAUAUACAUAAAACUGACAUAUAGUGAAUGCUUAACUCAAUCUAAAAUCAGUUAUAAAAUUUUCUUACGUAGCGCCUUAUUUCUCUGUCACAUAGACAAAAUUCUUUGUGUAUCAGGAGAAUGUAAUGCCCAAAUUUUAUCAUAUUUACUUUAUUGACGUCCGAACUUUAUAUUUUUAUAACAAAAAAUGAAUAUUUAGAAAGAAAUUAUUGUUUUUAAUAUUUAUUACCCUAAGCAGAACUCAAAGGAUUUGAGAUGAGAUUUAAAGCUAAGCUGAAACAAACAAACGCAAUAUUUUGUAUUUUAUUGUGUGUCUUUGAGUGUACGUAUUUUGUUAAUUUUAUUUCAUUAGUAAAAAAAACAGAAAAUAUAUAAUAAACAGACAGAUAUAUGUCUUAUUUUAAAGAGAUAACAAUAGAAAGUGAUUUGCGAUUACGUAAUUCUAUCAUGAUCUAGAAAAUUUAAAUUCGCACAUAUAUAUGUAUAUAUAUUAUUGAUCAACUUAACUAUUAUAUAUAUAUAAAUUACCGCGUGUACACGCGAAGUUUUAUCUAGUUAUUGUAAUAGUUGUGUACAAAAUAUCAUGGUGUAGAAAAUAAUUGUUGUAGUUAAAAAUUCAAUAAAAAAAAUAAUCAAAUUCUAUUAUAUGGAGGAAAAAUUUCAUAUUUUGUACUCUUAUUAAAUUUCAUAAUAUUUAAAAGUAAAUUUCCAUUUUUCUUCAAAAUUACAGCGAAUAAAUCCUAACUUUUUUUGUUUGAUAGAUAAGCAAUCUUUUUUGUCUGAUGGUAUAAAGAGGUAUAUCGUUUGGAAUCUUCCGAGGUUCAUCUUGCAUUAUCUUGGUUCAUCUUCCAAUAUAUCUAUUGGUUUGUAGAUUAGGUUGAAGAAAAUGAGAAAAAUUUGUAGUAAAACCUUUCUUUGAAUAUUUCUGUUAUAACGAAUGCGAAAAAAUGAAGUUAUAAACAUAAGGAACACAACACAGAUUUAACGUGGUUUACCAACGAUGUGUUGGUUACUUCCACGAACAAAAAAACCUAUUUAUUAAGGGAGGCAAAAGGUUCAGAAAACUCUGAUGAAGGUUCUGAAUCAUAAUCGGAAUACAUCAGAAUCGGAAUACAUCAGAAUUAGGUAUCACAUAGGUAUUAUAACUACCUAGUUAACCCUAAUCAUUUUUGGACCUGUCGUUCACGCCUAUGUAACGUCCUUAAGCUGAUAGCUUCGACCCAUUACUCAAACCGACAAUCUGCAGUAAGCUUCGUAGCUUACACCUCAUCUGAAAACAACUCCGCAGCUUACACAAUCUGUAACCAACAUCUUCUACAGUUUGCUAUGUAGCUUGCACCUUCCAGAGGUCACACUUUCCGCAAGUCGCACCUUAUGGAAGUCGCACCUUACGCAAGUCGCACCUUACGCAAGUCGCACCUUACGCAAGUCGUACCUUCUGCAGGUACCUUCUGCAAGUUGCACAAUCUACAUUAUGCUCUGUAGGUCCGCACCUUCUGCAACUUGCACCUCUCACAGUCUCAGAUUUAAGGCACAUUAACAAAUCUCCACCUUGUCUUGAAUCGUCCAAACAGAUGUACCAGAUGCACUUUUACAGUGCCAGAUGUACCGAAUUUUUCAUUUGCCUCACACGUUUGAUAACACCUAAUUUUGACAUAUUUUCACCAUUGAUUUCAAAUGCUUUUUCAAAGGUUUUAAUCAGUUUUAGGAAUUUUUAUUAUGAUUUCCAUGUAUUUAUAGUUUCAAGACUUUUUUCAGGAAACUUAGGGAAAAUGAUGGCAAAAUGGAAGAAAUCCACUUUUUAAAGCUCAGAGUCAGACCGUCAGAAGUUCAGCCUCAAAUGAAGACUUUUUCAACGUCUGAUCUAGUUCAAAUUUGGAGACAAUCAAGAGGAGACAACCAGAUUUCCAUAGCACUUUACAUCACAAAGAUUCAAUUGUGCAAUCAAAAGAUACAUGGAGAACAAGCUGACCCAGUUUACCAGUCCUGGAAGACUCUCACCCGCGGCAAAAUCAUGUUUUACCUGCCCUGGAAGACUCUCACCCCCGGUGUACCUUAGGACGAGCCACAAGGCCCAACAUCAAAGCCCACUUCGCCAUUCCUCUUUAGAGAAGCCCUAAAUGAGACCUGGAAAAACUUAGGACCUAUAAAUACAUUGUUUAGCGGCUCCAAACAGGUGUGUGCUCCUGUAAUGAGAUUUUGAGCCACCAAAAUCUGUUUCUCUAGGGUUAGGCGAUGGAGAUGGGGAUUCUUCCCCAGAUCCAUUGUUCUUUCUCCUUUCAAUUCUACUAACUUUUCUGUUUCACUCUUUUGCAUUUUUCUAUGUCUUUUAUUAUUCCUUGCAUCAUGUAGAUCUGUCCCAGAGAGUCAAGUUGUUUUAAGAGUCAUCGAUGAUCAUAUAUAUCGAUUAGGAUUUCUAUAGUUCUAAACCAUAUUCUGGAUCUCAUCUCUUCUAAGUUGUUCAUAUUGCAUGAGAGUAGAUUCAUGACCUAUUUUCUGAGCCUAGGAUCGAUCAGAGCCAUGAGAGUGUUGUAUCAGAUCAUCCAUACCUAGCUUCAGAAGAACAUAGUCGCUAUAGGAGUCGAAAGCUACCCAUAGAGAAGAUGUGAGCAGACGAAUUCAAUGUCUAAUGCAUGAUCUUAUUUCUGUCAUGAGAGCGAGAGUUAAUUGUCAUAUCUAAGUGAUUAGUUGAUUAAGAUGACGAGAAUUAGUUAAUCAUACAUAUGUCUAUUGUAGUUCCAUGCAGAUUCCUAGAAACAGAUGAAGAUAAAUCGCCCGGAAGCUAAUUGUAAAUGCCACCAUACAUCGAUUAUAGUAAAUCGGAGAAGUCUAAAUUGCACCCUAUGAGUUUAAGAGUAUUUAGUUUGAGUCGAUAUGCUUGAGAUAUGCUUGAGAUAUUCUUUUAACAAUUCAUCAUGCAUUGCAUUUUAUCUCUUGUGAAUAUUAGAUUAGGUUUAGUUUAGGACUUUUAACUAAAAACCCCAAAACGUUUAUUGGUUUAUGAUUUUGCUUACUUCCCAGUUUGUUGUUUCUUGCAGAUUAGACAUUCUCCCUAUGGAUCGACACCCUAAGUUCUACAAUCUGUGCACUUUCAGAUUUUAGGGUUUUAUAAAUUUAAAACUUUCUUUAUGGACCAAUGAGCUUGUAUGAAAAACAACCCUAGGCCCGUAGCUCAUCAAAGUUUUUGGCGGCGUUGCCAGGGAGGUUCUUAGUCGCUGGAGGUCUAAACCUAGGAGGUUGAAGCCACAAAAGACAAUAUAUAUGUCGAGUUUCUGCCAAAAAAUCAUAGGAAGUAAACCAAACUCAUAAACACCCUAACUUUUUUUUUUUCUGCUUAUUCUCUCUUCUGUUUGCCCUAGUUUCAGAAAUCUUUGAAGCAUGGAUCAUCCAAGAAGAAAUCCUAACCCUGAUCGAAGGUUUUGCAACUUGUGUGAAGCUCCCUACGCAUGUGAAUCACCUUCCAGGCGUGAUUCCAAUCAUCCAGUUCGGCCAGAUCAUCCGAACCACCACCAUGGAAACUCGCGACCUCUACACCAUCGAGAUGAGCCCUUCACCUGGUGAAUCGUCGACCAUCUCAUCCUCUUUCUCAUCAGAUUAUGCACCAGAACUAUGAGGAUAAUCUGUUUAAAAUCCUGCUAAAUCGAUUGGAAGCCAAGCUGAAUCAGUUCCUUGCCUCCCAAGCCAUCAUCGAUGCUGCCCUGCGAACAAGGAUAGAUGACAUGACCGUCGACCUUAACAAAAGGUUUGAUGACCUCUCUGAGCAUGUGAAGAUACUGGAGAUCAGAUAAUCAAAGAUAAUGACGUGUCGAACCAGAGAAUGGAGUCUGUCGAAGAAGAGCAGGACAAAAACAAGUUCAACAUUCGACAAAAUGAAAGGGAGCUGCAAACCCUAACUUUCAAGAUCGAUGACUUGGAUAAGGAACUGAAUGAGAGCAAAAACCAGACCUACGACUACACAUUGGAGCUGUGGCAGGGCGUAGCUAAGGUUGAAAACAAGACAGAAGAGCUUGAUGCUACUCUAGACAAAGUUGUCUAUGCUGUAGAUGAAGUAGAAGAGAAAGUUGAAAAACUUUCUAAAGAUCAUAAGGAGUAUGAUCUGAACUCUAGAAUCAAUGAUUUGGAUACCCAAGACGUGCCUAACAACCACUGGAAGCAAGAGAACAAUAAUGGAGAAGAAGAGAUUUAAGAAGAAAGCAUAGAGAGCCGGAGGAAGCUGACCGCGGCUGCGAGUACUUCACCCGCGGCCAGAGCCACUUCCACCGCGACUCCAAGCUCCUCACCCGCGGUAGAGCAUGAUUUCUCAGAUUAGGAGAACUUCCAACCUCUUUCUGAAACCUGUUCAACUGCAGACCAACCCCUUGUGACCAGAUCUAGGUUGUUUGAUCAAGUUGUCUUCUCAAUCACUGCACAAGCAUCAAAAGAAAAGGAAGAAUCCAACACUUAUGAAUCUUGCAACAUAGUUUACACUUGUGACAAUGAGCUUCAAGAGCAAUUCUCAGAAGAUGAAGAGUAUGGUUUGUUUGUUGAAGAUCCAAACUAUGGGGACAAUUCAUCUAAUGACAACUCAGAACCAAUUACCAAGAGCAUAUCCAGAGAGAGACUGAUUGAAUUCAACAAUUUUGUGAAGUCCAUUCCUCUCUACCAUGGUUUCGACGACAUCUGGAAGCAAGGCUGCCUUCAAGUUUUUUUUUCAGAUAUAGCAAGAAGACUAAGGAGAACGUCUACACUUAUUUCAGAAGAGCCAGGUAUCUAUCUUUUCCUAGAUCAUCACCUGAUGCAGCUGUUUACAUGAUCCAUCUCAAAGAUCCCCACGAAGCCAUUGACUACACAAACAAGAUCAACAAAGAAGCACUUGAAGAGUCAAUCAAGUAGUUCAAAGCCUCCUAGAAGGAAUUUCAUUUGCCAAAGCAUGUAGAGACUACAUGAUCGGCCACUUCUUCUAUGACAGCAAAGAUUCUAUUCAAGAGAUGAAAGACUUGUUCACACACGCCCAAGAAGGUAGACCAUUUCGAAAUCUGCACAAAGUUCAAGACAAAGGUCAAUUUCUUAUAUCUUGUGAUAUUAGAGGUGAAAGAUUUCUCAAUAUUCUUUGUGAUUCUGGAGCUUGCAUUAACAUGAUGUCCAAAGCAACUGCUUUGAGACUUGGCAUUAAGCACAUUUCAAAUACCAUGACAAAGAUUAGCUUAGCAGAUGGUUCAAGUGCAACACCAAGAGGGAUAUCCCGAGAUAUUCCUCUAAGGAUUGGAGAUUGCAUUGCACCUGUCGAUCUAUACAUAGUGAAGACCAAAGAUGACUCUUAUCCACUUAUCCUUGGAUGGUCUUUCUUAGCAACUGCUGGAGCCAUCAUGGAUUGGCCCAACAGGAGAUUUUAUUUUGCAAAUAUCGACAAGGAUAUCUUCUAUCAAGCUACACCACUUAAGAGCAAAGGAGAAAAGCAGAAAGCCUAGGCCUUUGAACCAGAAGAAAUCUGGAGUGAUGAAGAACCUGCAAGACAGAAGAGAAGGAUUUCGAAAAGGACUUGUCUUAGGACAAGAUCCUAUUUGAGCUAAGUCUUUUUCUUUUGCAAGUGUAGCUAAGGACUAUAAACCAAAGCGCUUGAUGGGAGGCAACCCAUUUAGCUACUUAUUUGCUUCUGUUUAUCUUUCUUUUUCUAUUAAAGUUUUGGUUUUUUUAUUUUAGACAGGCCUUAGUAUGCCACAAAAAAAGGAAGAAAAAGAAGAAAGAGAGCUGACCGCAGCCAAAGGAGGUUCAACCGCAGCCAGCAAGCAUUUUGCCGUGGCCACGAAGCUUUGAACCGCGGCCAGCACCACUCGGCCACCCUUGGCCAUUUCCACCUCUACCUUGAUUCAAAUCCAUCCAAGUUGGAUCAAGCACCACUUCACAUCAUCCACCAUCCACCAUUCAAUAUCCUACCACCUCCACAACCACCUCAUAAUCCAUCACCACACCAGGUAAGUUUUCUUUUCCUUAAUCUUUUUAAAUUUUUUCACAUACUCUAUUUCUCAUCCUUGCCUGAUUUAUUUCAUACUGGGGACAGUGUGAUUUAAGUAUGGGGGAGGAUUUCAUCCCUUUCUAACCACUUUUUCUUGCAUGAGCCUUUGCAUUCUGCAUUUUUCUUUAAAAUUUUUCAAUUUUUUUUUCGAUUUUUCACAAAACUUUUCAAAAUUCUUUUGAGUUUCAAAAAGUGUUUUCAAAGGUCAAAUACAUUUUAAGGGAAUAAUGACAAAAUCGAUGAUGAUAACCAACCUGUUUGCUUCUACACCAAUGAUUCAUAAAAAGCUCUUUCAAGGUUUAGUAUUAGACUUGGCGGUAGCUGGAGUACUUACACUACGAAAUCCUACCAGAAGACUUCUAUUCAUGAAGAUAUUUUCUAACAGGAUAUUCUAGCUCAUCUUACUUGGACUUAAUCUUGACAUCUAAUUUUCUCAUCAAUGGUUUUAAGAAGGCAUCAUGAUAUACAUCUAGGACAUCUUUAUCUUAUUGUUACCACUCUUUGUUGUCCUAGAUGGCCAGUUCAUCUUUAGCUGGUACCUCACCUUUAACCCAAACCUUUAUGUUCUAACCUCAUGCAUUCUCUCUUAAGUAUAUAUUGACAGAUAUGUGCAAAAACGCCGUAGAGGGAGGAACAACAUAGUUUUCAGUCAUUCAUGAGAAAAACUGAAAAAGACCAGAAGGGAGUGUGCCAGAAAUCUUAUGAUUCCUCAGAAAAGCUCAUUCUUAUAAGUAAAUUUCAUGCUUUUUAAGAUUAAGUCAAAAGGCAGUUUCCCCUUUCCCAAAAAAAAAACAAAAAAAAAAAGAAGGAAAGGAAAGAAAACCAAAAGCCUAAAGAGUCUUAGAAGCCGAAAUCAUUUGAGCCAAGGCAAUAGGUAUCCACCUAAGGAGUUAUGGAUUCACAACCUAGACAAAAAAUCCAAGUCUGGGGGAACUAUAAGGAGAACCUGAAGAAAGGAGAUCAGAAAUCUUAAAGCAAAGAGAAUGUGACUGAAACAGUGGGGGCAUUUACAGUUCCAUCCUCUCUUGCUGUUUUGCAUAAUGUCUUGUCUCUCCAGAAAAAGGUAACCCUAAACACAUCAAACCUUACCAUUAAAAAGCCUUUUUGAUACCUAACCUUGAAUGCCUUGUUUGAUAUCCUUUUGAUGAGAAUCACUGAAACCUUUAAUAAAUGUUAAGAGCUAGGUGACUGGAAGUUAGUUCUAAGUGUGUGGAUUUUUGCAUGACGGAUUAACAGACUAGUUAUGUUUGUAUUUUGGUGAGAAUUUUCUAGACUUGAUCUGAUUGACGCAUUGUCCAUAAUUAAGGUCUAGAAGUAUGGUUGCUGAUAUUUUUGAGUUCCCUCUCACUUUUGUUGAAUGAUAUUUUUCCAGAUUUGAUCUUGUUUUGUUUGAGGACAAACAAAGUCUUAAGUCAAGGGGGGGGGGGGUUGAUACCACACCUGAUUUUGACCCAUUUUCACCAUUGAUUUCAAUGCUUUUUCAAAGAUUUUAAUCAUUUUUAGUAAUUUUUAUUAUGAUUUCCAUGUAUCUGUAGUUUAAAGGUUCUUUUCAGGAAACUUACGGAAAAUGAUGGAAAAAUGGAAGAAAUCUACUUUUUUAAGCUCAGAGUCAGACCGUCAGAAGUUCAGCCUCAAAUGAAGACUUUUUCAACGUCUGAUCUAGUUCAAAUUUGGAGACAAUCAAGAGGAGACAACCAGAUUUCCAUAGCACUUUACAUCACAAAGAUUCAAUUGUGCAAUCAAAAGAUACAUGGAGAACAAGCUGACCCAGUUUACCGGUCCUGGAAGACUCUCACCCGCGGCAAAAUCAUGUUUUACCUGCCCUGGAAGACUCUCACCCCCGGUGUACCUUAGGACGAGCCACAAGGCCCAACAUCAAAGCCCACUUCGCCAUUCCUCUUCAGAGAAGCCCUAAAUGAGAUCUGGAAGACCUUAGGACCUAUAAAUACAUUGUUUAGCAGCCCCAAACAAGUGUGUGCUCCUGUAAUGAGAUUUUGAGCCACCAAGCUAUGUGUUAGGCGAUGGAGAUGGGGAUUCUUCCCCAGAUCCAUUGUUCUUUCUCCUUUCUAUUCUACUAACUUUUCUGUUUCAUUCUUUUGCUUUUUUCUAUGUCUUUUAUUAUUCCUUGCAUCAUGUAGAUCUGUCCCAGAUAGUCAAGUUGUUUUAAGAGUCAUCGAUGAGCAUAUAUAUCGAUUAGGAUUUCUAUAGUUCUAAACCAUAUUCUGUAUCUCAUCUCUUCUAAGUUGUUCAUAUUUCAUGAGAGUAGAUUCAUGACCUAUUUUCUGAGCUUAGGAUCGAUCAGAGCCACGAGAGUGUUGUAUCAGAUCAUCCAUACCUAGCUUCAGAAGAACAUAGUCGCUAUAGGAGUCGAAAGCUACCUAUAUAGAAGAUGAGAGCAGACGAAUUCAAUGUCUAAUGCAUGAUCUUAUUUCUGUCAUGAGAGCGAGAGUUAAUUGUCAGAUCUAAGUGAUUAGUUGAUUAAGAUGGCGAGAAUUGGUUAAUCAUACAUAUGUCUAUUCUAGUUUCAUGCAGAUUCCCAGAAAAAGAUGAAGAUAAAUCGCCCGGAAGCUAAUUGGAAAUGCCACCAUACAUCGAUUAGAGUAAACCGGAGAAGUCUAAAUCGCACCCUAUGAGUUUAAGAGUCUUUAGUUUGAGUCGAUAUGCUUGAGAUAUUCUUUUAACAAUUCAUCCUGCAUUGCAUUUUAUCUCUUGUGAAUAUUAAAUUAGGUUUAGUUUAGGACUUUUAACCAAAAACCCCAACACGUUUAUUGGUUUAUGACUUUGCUUACGUUCCAGUUUGUUGUUUCUUGCAGAUUAGACAUCCUCUCUGUGGAUCGACACCCUAAGUUCUACAAUGUACAUCUGUGCACUUUCAGAUUUUAGGGUUUUAUACAUUUAAAUCUUCCUUUAUGGACCAAUGGGCUUGGAUGAAAAACAACCCUAGGCCUGUAGCUCAUCAACGUUCCAAAAUGCACUUUACCGUGCCGGAUGUACCAGACGUCCCUUGUAUCAGAUGUACCUGAUGCACGCUUGCCAGAUGUACCAGAAUUCCCUUCUAUCAGAUGUACUAAACGCACCAAUAUUAUGCCAGAUGUACCAGAUGCACUCUUACUGUGCUAGAUCUACUUGGUGUUAAGUAGAACAGGUGUCUCUACAGACCAGACGUCCCUUUGGACCAGAUGUUCCGUCGGACCAGACUCCACUGCGGACUAGAUGUUAUUUCAGACCAUACGCCUCUUCGGAUCGGACAUUGUUUCGGAAUAGACGUCCUUUCAGACCAGACGCCUUUUACCAGGCUCAUAUACUCCUCCAGAGCCAGAUGCCUUUCACUGGGCUCAGAUGCUCCUUCGAGCCAAACAACCCUCACCGGGUUCAGACGUUCCUUCAAGCCAAACGUCCCUUCGGACCUGUAGUGUAUGAUCCACCAUAUCUUCGAAGCCAUAUAUCUCUGUGGAUCCAACCUCAUUCCUUGUAAGCUGAUCAUGACAUGUACUACGGUGAAUAUUCUCAGAUGGUGUCAGUUCUGACAGAUCAAUUUCUGUCUGUAGCUCUUGAAUCUCUUCGUGUAGCUCAGAAUCAGUCUCGUCACGAUAUAUAUACAAAUCCACCUGCAUCUGUAACUCCACCUGCUUGUCAAAGCUACUGUUCUCUGUAGCAGCUGUGGUUAAAGGUUCAUCUUGGAACCUUCUUUCUGAAUCAACAUUAGAGAACAUGCACUUCGUUCUCCGCAGCAGCAUCUGAUUCAUCUGCUCAGAUACACCAUUCGGUUGUGAUGUAUCCGUAACUGCAUGAUGUUGGACAACUCCUUCAUCCUUGCAUAGCUGAUUGAGCUCUAAUGAACAGAAUUUCUCACCUUCCUCUGACAGAAUUUGCACCUUCUUUUCACCUAUACGACCAAAGCUCUUAUGCCACAGCUUUGUUAUAUCUUUGUGGUGAAUUUCUGAAGAUGCAACAUUCACAGAACCUGUAGCUGUGGAACCUCCACCCAUACCCUUGUGCCCUCCUCUGCUGCAGGUGAAAUCACCUUCAUCAUCCUCAUUUUCAUUCAAUGGAGCCGCAAAUCUCUAUGACAGAUAACAUCUUCAACUUUCUUUUUCAAUUUUAUCGAAAAAUGUGAGAUUAGACGCAUAUAGAAUGGGAACCAUCUCUAUAAAAACAAUAGAUUUUUUUUAUGAAGAGAUAUCUGAUGUCCAAUAUAAUUUGUUGUUAUAAUUUGUAUCUAGUUUUUUUGUUAUCAAAAUGAAUGUUCAGAUGAGAAUAUUGUAAAUUAAUUCUUAUCAUGAUAUUUUGAAUAGCAUAUGAUUUUGAUUAAUAUUAAUUAAAAUCAUUAAAUUGAAACUAUAUAAUAUUGAUAAGAACUUUAAAAUUAAUUAUCUAAUGAUACAUAAUUUUAGUUAAAUUUUAAAAUCACUUAAAAUGCAUAAACUAACAGUACCCAACUCAAUAUAUCUUGGUGAAAAGGUUCUUAUGUAAAAGUCUAAUUAUAUAAAAAUUAUAGUAAGGAAAAAGAAUGUGCGUUCUUUCAAAAAAAAAAAAAAAAAAAAAAAAGAAGAAUGUGCAGUGAGCAAUCAUAUAUUCCCUUUAAAUAGUCUCAGUACUGUCAUUUUGAGUUUACCCUCUGUCUCCCCUAUUUUUUAUAUUUACAGUUUUUUAAUAUUAGGUUUUUACUAAAAUAAAAAUUUCACAUCGUGAUUUAUCAGAUGGAUCCUAUCCAUUUCUCAAUUUAAUAAAUAAUAUUUCUUAAAACUUUUCUUGUCUUACUAUAUUCUCAGCAUUUUGUAACACUAAAUAUUUAAAAUGCAAUAUUUAUAUCUUUUUGGACUUUACAUUGAUAUAUAUAAACUUUCGAAUAUUAUUAUGUUAGAUACACAAUUUCUAACCAGAGAGGAAUUUACAUAGUAAAUAAAAUGAUAUUUAUCAUAUUUUUGUAAUUCUAUUAGAAUUAUCUACAUUUUUAUAUGUGUAAAGCUCAUAUAAUUGGUUUUGCAUUCUUAAUGAAAGUUUGUUAAUAGAACUAAUAUAAUUAUAUCAUGGAAGAAAAACUAAUAGAAUUUAUUUUUAAAAAAUGAUAUCAAUCUAUCAAUUUUAUUGGGCACUAAAACAUUUAGGGUCCUGCCAUUGACCAAUACUGUCUACCUCCCAUAUAUCUACCAUUAAGCCAAUACAAUUAUUUAAACACUUUUGUAGAGAAUUUUUUUCUACAUUUGAUAUUUAUAGAAAGACCUAAAAAGAAAUAAAAUCUAUACUUUAUCAAUAAUAUAAUUCUGAAAGGUCGUUUUGAGAUAUAUGUGAUAUAAUAUUAUAAUAUUUAAUUUAUAUAUGAUAUCUAAACUUUACCAAAUACUAAAGUUUUAUAUUUUGAUUAGUCUACAUUGAGAUUACAUAUUGUUUCAUUAAAAUAUUUUAUUUUUAUUUUAUGCUAAAUUUAUAAUCAAUAUUAGAGCAUUUAUUACUUGGUCAUAGGUUUUACUAGAGUUGAAUUUCAUAAAAUAUUAAAUUUGGUCAAAUUAAAAACAUUUGACUCAUUUAGAAUAUGUAAAGAGUAGCGAGCCAAAAGAAGUUGAACUUCUCAAAUAUAAAUUAAAUUUUCAAGCGCAAAGCUCAUGGUACAAUCAAGAAUCUGAAUAACUUUUGAAUGGCCACAUUAUUGUAUAUGAAUUACAUACAUGUAUAUGUAUGAUAGAAUAUAUAUAUAUAUAUAUGUUUUCUUGGUAGUGAAUGAGAGGAGGAAAAAAAAUAAGAGGAGAAACAAUGAGAAAAAGAAAAGUUCAUAAAAACAAAAAUCACAAAAUCAUAAAGUUUUUUCAUUCUUAUUGUUCUGCUCUUAUAUUUUUUUCCUGUCUCUCAUUCACCACCAAAAAAACACAUAUAUAUAUAUAUAUAUUUAUGUAUUUUUGUGUAGCAUUUGACCAUGCCAAUCCGAAAUGCUAAACAAAAAUAUAAUUUAUUUUUCCAGAUUACAGGCCAAGAGAUAGUAUGGAGAUAUAUAGAAGGCGAUGGUAUGAGGGUUACAAAAAUAUUCAGACUAUUAACUCAGAUUAAAAAUUCUGUGAGAAGAAAAUUCAGAUAUGAUUCCAGAAUUAUUUGUUGAGAAUCAAUCCAAAGUUCCACAUCGGAAGUUUAGACUAAUAUGGUCUAAUAUAUAAGUAAUGUCCAACUCUAAUUAGUAUGAGGUCUUUUGGGAAGGAGCCCAAAAUCAAAUCCGUGUGGGCUUUGUCAGUUGGGCCCAAAGCAAACAAUAUCAUACUAAUUGAAAAAGUUGGACAUGCGUUUUUCAAGCCCAAUAUUAUUCAGGUGAAAAUUUUCAUCACUAUUUUCAGAAUGAUAGGCUAAAGUGUAAGAGACAUUUUAUUAUUAUUGUAUCUCAAAAAACGUGGAAAUGUUACAUAAGCCUUUAACAGUCUUUUUAAAAAAAAAGCUAUAUUCAAGAUAUUUAGUUUUUUUUUUAAAUAAUAUAUAUAUAUAUAUAUAUAUAUAUACACAUAUAUAUGAUAUUUAAACUCUAUAAAUAAGAGUUUGAUAUUUCUAGUCCAGAUAAAGUAACGUUAUAAUGCUGCCCAAAAAAUAAUACUACAAAUAAUUAUUUUCUAUUAAAUUUACAUUAUAGCAUUUUUUUUUAUAACAUCUAUUUUAUUAGAUAGUAAAAAAGUAAUACAUCAUGUUUACAAGCCAUUUUGGCAAAGAUUGAAAAACAUAAUACAUAGCAUGAAAACAACAAUACAUAAAAUUAAAAACACAAAGCACUAAAUCAAAGAAGAUGAGUUUAAACGAUUUUUUUCUUCGAAUUUUUCUCGCUGAAAAAGUGUCCACACCUUCUUUCCUCGUAAUCGCAUUUGAUCUAAAGCGAUUUUUUUUUUUGCUAUGAUCCAUCUUUUCUCCUGUUGUAUGUUAUUGACACAUUUCCAAGUAAGAACUAAAAAUAUUCUAUGAAUAAGAAUCCAAUCUUUUGAUUCUUUCCAUAGAAAAAAUACUUGAAAUUGCCAAUUUUCUACGACUGUACGUAUGUCGCCAUACCACAAGGAGUUUUCAUCUUCCGCUCCAAACCCUUGUCCCCUCCAUGGUGGUUUCCAUGUUUGUUGUUCCCAUAGUAAUGCCAUAUCCGGCUGAAUAGAAUCAUCGAAGAAGAUCAAACAUAAAACCCAAAUUCGCCAAUCAUCGUUUCCAUGACUCCUAACUUCUCCUAUUCCCGGAUCAAAAACCCAAAUUACAUCUCCAAACCAUACAGUGGAGGAUAAUAAAAACUGCUGUGAGUGUUGAUUUAAUCUUGGAUCAAUUUGAGUAAAUUGGUUCAAGAAAGAAUUAAAAUCCCAACCAAAGACUUGACGAAUUAUAGCAUUUAUUAUUUGGUCAUAGGUGUUACUAUAGAUGAAUUUAAUGGAAAUGUUAUUUUUGGUCAAAUCAAAAUUAUUUAAUAUUUAUAAUAUGUAAAAAUUUGAUCCAAAAGAAGUUAAAACAUAAAUAGAAUCUCAAACCACAUGAUACAAACAAGAAUCUGAAAAAAAGUUUGGAAUCUCCAAUAUGAUAUACAUUUGCAUUAUUAAAAAAAAAUGGCACUCAUUGUUCUUCUCUCAAUGCUUUUUUUUGUUUCCUUCUCUCAUUCACCACCACGAAAACACACACACAUAUAUAUAUAUAUAUAUAUAUAAAUAUAUAUAUAUGUCAUGCAUUAUCAUUUAUCAUCUCAUCGAUCUAACUCAUGCACUCAGGAUCAUCAUCAAAAUGAUCUUCUCCCUCCAUAGCCUCUCUUGGAUUUCCGGCUUCCAUAUUCUGUUUUCCGCAGGGCUCCAUCACAUUAUGUUUCUGACUUGUCGACACUAGAUUCAUAGAAAGUGAUUGAUCAUGGUUGGUGUCAGGGGUUGAGUCCAUCAGGGUAUUAAAGGCAGAGUCAUGUCCAAUACACCUCGUCGAAAAAAGAAUAUCUUCCUUAGAAGAGCCAAAAUUUCGAACCAACAGUCAAUAUCCAUCUCAUUGACGUCAAUGUCAAAAUAAAUCAGCUCUUCGAUCGGAACAUCAUUAUCUUCCACAUAAGGAACCAAAGCCAUAUCUUCCAUAUUAGUUUCAAGGGAUUGGGUUUUAUUGGUUUCAAAAGAAGCAUGUCUUCAAGAAGAAGAAAACUUUCUUCAGAAAACAACCAAUCUAUCUGGUCUGUAUUGGUUUCGAAAAUGGUGGUCGUAUUGGUUUGAGAAGAGGUUUCAUAACUUGUUUGACCAGAAGCAAAACCGACAUGGGAAAUGACAUUUUGAGAAAGAACAUGAUUUUCUCCAGAAGAAACCAUACCCAUCUGGUUACUGAUUUCAGAGGGAAUCAUAUUUUCAGAAGCAACAUAGCCUUCUACUGAAGAAAUAUUGGUUUCAGGAACAUUUAUGUUCAUAUCAGUUUGAGGAAGAACAUAAUUUUCUAGGGUAGGAAUCCAAUCCAUCUGGUUCAUAUUGGUUUCAGAUGACUAAUGUUUUCUGUUGAUGGAACACAACCUAUUUGGUUUAUAUUGGUUUCAUGAUCGCGAAUAUUAUCGGUUGAUGGACUCCAACUUAUCUGGUCCAUAUUGGUUUCUAAAGUGUUCAUGGUAAAGUCUAGAUCUGGAAGAAAAUAACUUUCUCCCAUAAUGCACAGAUCAGCUUGAGGAACAUAAGGCUCUGGUAUAUAAAUAAAGUCUAGAUCUAGUUGGUUCCAAUCGAUUUCAAGAACAGAUGAGCUAGGUUGAAAUGGGUUAGGUUCAGACUGAGGAAUACAAAUCCCGGAAGACUCCAUCUGGAAUGCAUCUGUGUUAGAUGCACCAACACUUGAUGACAAACCAUAAAGAACAGGAGGGUUAUCACUACUUAAGCCACUAUGGUUAGAUGCACCAACACUUGAUGACAAACCAGAAAGGACAGGAGGAUUAUCACUUAAGCCACUAUGGUUAGAUUCUCCAACACUUGAUAGCAAACCAGAAAGGACAGGAGGAUUAUCACUACUUAAGAUAAUAUGGUUAACAUCAUGGAUAGAAAAAAUAUGGGAAGGUGGGUUGUUACUUGUGGCUGAAGGAGCGUAAUUGACUUCCAUAGGUGACUUGUUUAAUAGGUUACCAAAAAGUGAGUGUUUACUCAGAUCCAAUUUUCCACCUAGAUGAAACUUGGGCACCAUCUUCGCUUUGCCCUUUUCAGCAGAUUUUUUGAAUGAAUCUGCAUACAAGAAAAACAAAAAACAUUAUUGACACAAAGAUGUUGAAUUGUGAAAAGUAUAUAUAUAGUAAAAGAACAUGACUUGCAUUGGUCGAUGGAUCAGGAGGAUGCUUCCUUCUUUUUCAGAGAAUACCACUUUGUGUUACUUUCAACGAUAUUCUUUGCUAAGUUGGAUGCAUUGAAAGGAUAUUCAUAGUCUGAAGGGUAGUUGAAUGUCUUAUCUGUUGACCUCCAUUCAUUCCUCGACAACGAAUGGUUCAUUAGCUUAACUUGUGCUUUGUAUUUCUGAAACAAUUAAUUAUAGAAUAAAACAGGUUAUCAUAAGGCUAGUAAAAUUAUAUAUUGAAAAAGAGUGUAUAUAAAUGUAUAUAUGAACCUGAAGGUGGCUACCGACUUGGCAAAGAUUCAAGUCUGAGUCAUUCAUAAUGCUCAAUAUGGAUUUAGGACAAGAAUCUGUAGGAUAAAGAACUGUAAUCAAUUGGUAGAAAGAAGAAUUGGUCAAAACAAAAAAAAUCUUACCUUUUGCACCCAAUAUGGAUAUAGCUGUUAAAAAUAUCAUUUGGCGCUCCUGGAGUCAAUACAUUGCAUCGUCUUCCAAUAUUACUCUCCAUAUUUAUUCCUUCCUCUCUCUUGUUCUCAGCCUCAGUGGGAUAAACCGGUUUAGUUUUUCCUUCAUCAAUUGCUUUGCCUUUUCUCUUUUGGUAUGUUUCAGGGGUUGUAAAUGUUUUGACGAAGGGUCGUCUUCCUAACAAAGAUGACUGACUUGUUCUCUGCCUCUUUAUGGUUUCUCUAAGAGAUUCAAUCUGAUUUAGUAUAUUUUUCUCCACAACUUUCUCUUGUUGUUCAGCGAUGUUGAUUUUCUUUAACUCUUGGCUCUUCUUAGGUACCACAUGCUGCCAUAGGUUUUCGAUGUCGUUUUCAGAAAUCGGCUUCGUUAGACAAAAACGUGCACUUUUUGUCAAAAGAUCUGAUGUUUCCUUGGUAUUUAUUUCUGGACUUAUCACUUUAACAUCAAAAAAAUAGAUAAAUUAAUCUGUGGAAGAAAGUAACAAACAGUGUAAAGAGUAAGCGCAAGAAGAAUGUGUAAAUGUUUGCUUACGUAUAAGAGGAAUUUUUUUGUGAAGCAAAGCAGUGAGAAAGGAAUGUGAAUCUAUAUGAGGCAUUUCAAUGUUGGCUAUCACAAGUCCAGUAUCCUUUUGCUUUUCGAUCAUCGAUAAAGCCUCACUUGCCUUGUUCAAGCUCAUCACUAGUACAUCAAUUUAUAUAUUAAAUAUUUACAAAAUCCAAAAAAAAACAUUGUUCAAAACAAUAAUCAAGUUUCUUCCAUUUUAGUUUUAGUUAUAUAAAAAAGUUGAAAAAACAAUAGAUUAACACGCACAUUUUCGAUUAUAUAUGAUGAUUAGCUAACCUAAUACAUAAUAUAUUAUUUAUAUACAUAUUAAUAUUUGAAAGAAAUUUUUUGGGCUAGAACCAGACAUCUAACAAUCUGAUUAUCCGAUUAAAAUAUAGAAUAUAUGUAUUAAAACUCAACAAUUAUACAUCUAGGGUAUUCAAUAAAAAAUUAAUAAAAAAUUAGAGUUCAAAUAUUUUAUUAAAUUCUUUCUUAUCGAUUUUUAUUUAUUUACAAAAAAAUAUUUUAAAAGAGAAAUUUAUAUGCGUAUUAUCAAUUAUAUUUGAUGAUCGACUAAUCUAAUACAUAAUACAUUAUAUAUAUAUAUAUAAAUAUUUGAAAACUUUUUCCAGCUAAUACCAAACAUUCGAAAUCAUGUUAAGAAAUCAUUUCUAAAUAACAUCAGUUAUCAAAAUCUCAUAUAUAUUCCACAAAAUAUAGAUUAUACUAAAAUUUAAUGGUUUUUACAAAAUAGUAUCCAAUAUCUAUGACAUAUUAUUAUCCAAACUAAUAAUCGUAGGUGAUUAGGAUUUUCAACAAAAGGGUUGUAAGAAAAUCAUCUUCAAAACUGAGAUCCAAGACCAAUCAGUAGCCUAUAGCUUUAAUAUUCUGUAAAUUAAAUUAUAAAUUAUAAUUUUCUAUGCGAAUUCACAUUUCUUCAAAUUUGUUCAGAGAUCCUGAUUUAUACAAUGUAGAAAUCUCAAGAUCUAGAGACGUUGAAUUAUAAUCAUCAGGAAAAUAUUCAGCAAAUGCUAAAAUUUACCAUACCAAAUGUAACAAAUUAGAAUAAUACCGUUGAUAUGUAAAUGGAAAAAUGAUCAACAUCAAUAUAAAUGGUAAACAAUUUUUUUUUACCUUUAUACGAAAAUUGCUUAAGCAUUGAAGUGAGAAAUUCAAUUGAUGUAGUGUCAUUAUCGAUUAGCAGAACUGAAAUAUCACCAAUGCGUUCAGGAACUAUGUUUCCAGCCAAAUUUACGGUCAACUUUUCAGUCAUAUUUUCAAAAAUAUAUGAUAUGAAGGUUUGAAAUAAUAACCGAGUUAAGGGGAAAUAAGCUAUUGCAUGGACGUAUAUAAAAGAAAGAAUAGAAAUUGUAGACCCAACAAGGUCAUAAAUUGCAAACAACACCAGAUGAAGAAAACUAUUUUAAUUUCUAUCAAAUAUAUUUCAUUUCAUCAUUGACCCUACCUAUAAUAUAUUUUUUUAACUCUAAAAAUAUACCCAGUCUAAAGUAUAAUCUAUUAGUUUAUAUAAUUCAAAAUCUUAUCAAACACAUGGUAAAUGAUAUUAUAGCAUUGGUAGUGAUAAAUAUAAUUAUUUUGGGAAUAUUAUAGUGUUUCUUGACCGAUAUAAUUUGAGAAUUUACACGAUAGUCAUCGACUUAAAAAUCCAUAUAUAGUUAGUUGUUAUUUCAUUUAUAAAUUUUGACUAGAAAUAUACAAUUAGUUCAUUUUUUAUACAAUGUUUUAGAAAAUGAUUAAUUAAUUAACAAAAAGUAAACAUAGAAAAUUUUUGUAUAUGCAUAAAAGAUUUUUCAUAGAAAAAUUUGGUGGAAUUAUGUUUUCUCUUUUUUCUUAUAAUUAGAUAAUAUUUUUAUUUCAGUCAGGAAAAAAUGUAGCUACAGAUGUGUUUUAGAUUUAUGGAAGCGUAAAAUAUUCUUAAUAUGUAAAGUAAUAUAAGUUCUCUAUAUAUUACACAAAAUAUAAUUCAAAUUUUGUUAAUAGUUUUGAUAUCAAAAGUUAUUCAUGCAUGCGUUUUACAAUUCGAUCCUUACCUUAUUUCGAGUACAAUAGGCAUGUGACUGGUCAAGUUUUUAAACUCUUAAGUAACUUCCAUAAUUACGUAGAAACUCAAAAAAAUUCAAGAAUAGAAUAAGGUUCAUCUUUUUAUAAAUGUUUAAUUUGAAACGUAUGCUAACACUUUAAAAUAAAGUAUUGAUAAUUAUAUGUUGUGAUGUUGUGUAAUGUAUAACUAAUGCUCGUUUAGUAGUGAACUCGUGAUCAAUGAUGGACUCCAGCUACAAGUUUGUUUUCCUUCCGAUCUGUUCACUACACUACAAGAAAGAAGACCUUUUAUAUUGGAAGAUAUCGACGUAAAAUCGACGUAAUGGGCCAUUUACGUCAAAUUAGUGACGAAUGAAAAAUUAUCGUAAAACAAUCAUCGUAAAAGAGAAAUCGUCGUAAAAUCUUCGUAAAUUACCAACACAAUAAAAUCGUCAGAAACAAUUCGUCGCAAAAACGACGUAAACGUUCCAACGAAAGUACGACGAAUUAAUUUUAACACAACAACGACGUAAAAUCGAUGUAAAAUUACAUCGGAUUUACAACAAUUUCGAGACGAUCUAUUUCGCAAAAGUCAAAUAAAUUUAUUAUAGAUCGACGUAAAAUCGUCGUAAUAUAUCGACGUAAAGUCGACAAAAAGUAUAUGGACGUUUUAAAAUAUUUGCCUUUAAUUAGACGUAAAUUUACGACGAGUUUACGUCGAAUUAGAAAAAUAAUUAUUAAAAUUGGAUUUUAAUUUAAUUAUUGAAUUUUUAAAAUAAUCAAAUAAAGGAAAAUUUAAAUUUAAAUUCGAAAAUAAUUCAUAAAUUAAAAUACAAAAUUAAAUACAAUUUAAAAAAAAUAAAAACUAAUCUACACAGUAAAUUCAUAAUCGUCGAGGUUGAGAUCGACGUCUCGAGGAGGCUCUCCGUCAUGUCCGUCCGUCGCUGUUGUACCAUCGUUUCCCGUCUGCACUACGGGAUCCGAAGUCUGACCCUGCGUCUGCUGGUCAGAAGGUCCACCCGCAAUAAUCCUGUGUGCUCGCCGUUGCCUCUCUCGAAAGUGGAUCGUGAAUAUUUCUAAUCCGUUUUUGAAGUCUUCAGUCAAUGACCCAUCAACAUUUUUGGGCGUAUACAUCCACUUUCGUAGAUCGUAUAUAGACAUUUAAAAACAAAUAAAUGACUUUUUGUUUUUGAAUUUUGAUAUAAAUUUCAACUACUAAAAAUUUUACUCAAACAUUCAAAGACUCAAAAAAUUGUGUCUUUAUAUGUUUUUUUGGUUGAUGGAAUAAUGAGAGAAGAAAUGGUAUAUAUAGAUUUUUUGUUUGGUUACCAACAUAUUGCCAUUGAAUAUUAACAUCAAAUUUACGUCGAAAUAAAAUUUACAUUAUAUUUACAUCGAUAUUACGUCAACUACAAGAUGGAGGCCAAUUCAUCGUAUUAUCGAUGUAAAAUUUACGACAAUGUUACGACGAAAUGUAAUUCGUUCUUUAUUCGUCAUAAUGUUGUCGUAAGUUUAUGACGAUUUUACGAGAAUACUAUUUUAUAUCGAAACGACGAAAUAUUUUGACGUCGUACGUAAUUUCGUCGUAAAUUUACUACGACCAUAAAUCGACGUAAAAAAUUCGUUGGAAAUGUCCCUCUUUCUUGUACUAUACAAGGAUUCAUAAAUAAUGAAGCUGUUUUGUUCGGUGAGUGCAUUAAUGUGAGUUAUACAAAAUUUACAUUGGUUACAAAAUUAGGAGACCAUCUCCAUCGGUUUGUUAGGUAAUUUAGAUAAUAAUAAAAAUUAAGAAAUGAUUAAAAAGUUAACAAUUCGGGUUGUUAGGUUGUUGUGGAAGAACCCAGGAAUAUAUAAAAACGUGGCACCAUGUCAUUGGUGGAAGAUUUUUUAUGUGUGUGGGCUAAAAAUCAGGAAUAAGCCCACAUAAAAAUUCUUAAUUUUUUUAAUUAAAAAUUCAUAAUUAAAAAAAUUUUAAGAAACCCAAUCCCAGGUUUAGGGAUGGAGAUGUUUUGCGUGAGUACAUUUUCUCUUUCUUAUAUAAAGUGGAUCCACCAUAACUCCUAAACUAAAUGAGACACACGAUGAGGCCGCAUACAGUGUGGAGAAGGUACACAAAUUCCGCAUUAUCGUUAUAAAAGCUAUGCGAAGUCUUUAAAAAUUAUCUACCGUUCUAAUAACUAACUAAAGUAAUCACGAGAAAUAGUAGUUGGAUAACAAGAUUUUUUUUGUCUUUCUGCUAAGGGCGAAAAAAGUAAUGUAACCUGAGCUCUUUUGCAUCUCUUCUCCGGCGAUGCCGACAGCGUCGGUCUCAUCCUCUUCUCCUCAUGGGGUAGAAAAAACAACCCAAAAAAUCUCCACCAUCCAAACCCUUGUGCCCUCCUCUGCCGCAGGUGAAAUAACCUUCACCAUCUUUGUUUUCACUCAAUGAAGCCGCAAAUCCCUUUGCUCACUCAGUGGCGGGGGAUCCUUCGUCUCUAGCACAGCAAAUCCUUACUGAUUCUGAUUCUCUAGCCUCGACUGACAGCAACUCUCGCUCAGAUCCAAUUGUGAUAGUUCCUGCAACAGUCCAAGCCCCCAAAUAUCAUUUAUGUAAAAGUUGUUGAGACAACAGAUCCAGAACUGAAGAACUCAUCAGUAGAGGCACCAAUUGUCCCGACAAUCCCUGCCUCUGAAUCUGUUUCCGUGAAAUAGUCUUUGGCUGCAGUUCCGGAAAUCCUAAAAAGUUCAAAACCCACUGUGAGUGAUUUGUGGUCAGGAUUAUUCAAAGGUGCUACGAAGCAACUGCAGAAGAAAGGCACAACUUUUACCUUCCCAUCCGAUGAAGCUUAUGUGAAGAUUCUCAAAUAUGUAAUCGAAAAGAACAAAAAAUCCUGGGAAAGUUUCAUCUGUGGGCAAUUAUACACAGAUACGCCCUCCCAGAAAACUGUUCAUAACAUCGUGAAUGGAAUUUGGAGUAAGCAUUUCUGUGAUAUUACAGUAUCAAAGAUAGAGGGCAAUACCUACCUUUUUCAGGAUACCAAAUCCUUCCACUCGACAAUGGGUUUUAACUCAGAGAUUAUGGCAGAUAGAAGGUAAAACGAUGUUUGUCACGAAUUAGGAGUCUGGCUUUGUUCCAUUGAAGCCCGAGCUCUCGUUGUCCCCUAUUUUGCUGAACUAAGAAAUGUUCCUCUACAGUUCUUCAAUGAAGACGGCUUUGAACACAUUGCGGGAUUUGUUGGAGAGCCAAAAUGUCUCCAGCCUAUAACUGCAAACAAGACAAAUCUGUAAGUAACGAAGGUAUUCACGAUAACUGAUCCUCGUAAACCUCUUUCAGAAGUUGUCAAUAUCCAAUUUGAUUCUGGAGAGAUCAAUAGAGUUUUAGUGUCCAGUCUGUGGAUGCCACCACUGUUUUAGUUCUGUAAGAGGUGAAUCAUCAUCUGAGGCAGUGCAAUGAAGCUCCAAUCUUUUGCAAGAAGUGCAACUCAAAAAUUCACGUGGAAGAGAAUUAUGCAAGAACCGUCCUACCUGAACAAAAUAAUCCAAACUCCCAUAGAAACAGAGCCAAGGGAUUAGCUGGAAAUACUUAGAAGUGGGUUAAAGUUGCUGAGAAAUCAUCUGCCAAAUCUGUCAAGUUUACUGAGUCUUCACUGGGGAAAGAAAACAAAUCUUCAAAGGGAGAGUUCAGUGGCGCUGUGGUCUGGUACAUCUUCAAGGGAAGAUCGACGAAAAUGUUAAAGGUCCUCCUAUCCCUGACACAAAAAAAUCAUCAGGAGUGGAAUCAGAUUCUUCGGACGUUGCUUUUGUGGACUUCAGCAAUGUUGUAAACCUGCAGGGUGAGCAGAGUGAGUUCGCAGAGGUAGUUUCAAAAAAGAAGAAGAAGGAUAAGAGGGACAAGAGCCCCAACAAAAGCAGCUUAAUAAAUGGUUGAAGAAAAACAAACCGUUUUAUGAGAGUAUUAUAGAAACCCAUGUGAAACAGCCUAAAUGUAGGAAUUUCAUUAAUAGAUCGCUUCCCGGCUGGUCUUUUGAACAGAAUUAUGAUUUCUCCAUUUAACAAGUGUAAAGGCUGUUGUGGUGGCUAAGUCUUUGCAGAUGAUCACCUACAAAGUUAUGUUUCCUGAUGUGCAGCAGUGGGUUAUUUUGUCAGUGAUGUAUGUUUCUACAGUUGAGACUCUGAAAAAGGAUCUUUGGGCAGAGCUGAUUGUUUUGUCUUCAAGCCAGACUGUUGAAGAAAAAGAAUGGAUGGUCAUUGAGGAAUUUAAUCAAGUUCUCCAUCUACAUGAGCAUUCAAGAGCUAUUACUCUUAAUGUGGAUAGGAGGACAAGAGAAUUCAGGCAGUGUUUGUUGUCGGCUGAGGUGUCAGAUUUGAACUACUGAGGAAACACAUUUACUUGGUGGAAUAAAUGUAGUGCCAGGCCAACUGUGAAGAAGUUGGACCACAUUCUUGUAAAUGAGGUUUGAUCUACUUUUUUCCCCUCUUCAUAUGCAAUAUGUGGAGAGCAUGGUUUUUCAGACUAUGCUUCUUGUGUUGUCGUCUUGGAGUUGGGUUCUCAAAGGCAGAGGAGACCUUUUAAAUUCUACAAAUUUUGCCUCCAGAACCAAGACUUUUACCCUCUGGUUUGUGAACAUUGGUUCUCAUGUAACAUGGUGGAAUCAGCAAUGUUAUGUCUCUCAAGGAAGCUUAAGCUUCUGAAAAAUGUCAUAUGUAGAUUCAGUAGAGAUAAUUUCUAGGAUUCAGAGAAAAGAGUUAUUGAAGCUCAUGAGAAGCUUUUGCUUUGCCAGUCUUAGACUCUAACUGAUCUGUCUCGAACAAAUGCAAAACUGGCGUUUGAAGCACAAAGAAAGUGGCAGAUCCUGGCAAGUGCUGAAGAGUCCCUUUUCUGCCAGAGAUCAAGUGUAACCUGACUUAAAGAAGGUGAUUGUAACACUUCUUAUUAUCACAGAAUGACUGCAUCUAGGAAAGCCAUAAAUCACAUUCACUUCCUUAUUGCACCAGAUGGAGAACAUUUUGAAUAUCAAACAGGAGUUUAAGAGCAUUGUGUUGAUUAUUUCUCACACUUUAUGGGUUGUGAGGUUGGUCCCCAGAUGCUGAUCUAGUCGGAUAUGGAGCUCCUCCUUCCAUUUUGAUGCUCUCAGGCCCAAAAAGAGAGUAUGAUAAAGAGCUUCUCGAAGGAGGAAAUCAAACACCUGCUUUUCUCAUUGCCAAAAAACAAAACCAGUGGACCUAAUGGGUAUUCCGCUGAGUUUUUCACCUGUUACUGGAGUAUUGUAGGGCUGAGGUAUGUGAGGCAGUUGAAGAAUUCUUCCGAUUUGGAAAGCUGCUUCAGCAAUGGAACACUACAACUUUGAUCCUCAUUCUCAAUAUCACAAACGCCUCUUCAACAUCUGAUUUCAGGCCAAUAUCCUGUCUCAACACUAUUUACAAAGUCAUAUUCAAGUUAUUGGCAACCAGAUUUCAGAAGAUCCUGUCUCAGGUAAUAUAUCCCUCUUAAUAGGUUUUCAUGCCAGGUAGGCUGCUUGCAGAAAACGUUCUACUGGCUACGAAAAUUAUGCAUGGCUAUAACUGGAGGAACAUCGAUUCCAGAGCAAUGCUUAAGGUGGAUCUUAGAAAGGCAUUUGAUUCAGUAAGAUGGGACUUUGUCCUCUUGACCUUAAAAGCGUUGGAGUUAUCAGAAAUAUUUGUUAAAUGUAUCAGUCAGUGCAUCACAACUCCCUCGUUUACAAUUUCAGUUAAUGAUAUCACCAGAUGCUACUUCAAAAGCGCAAAAGGAUUAAGGCAAAAAGACCCUCUCUCUCCUUACCAUUUUUCCUUGCAACGGAGGCCUUCUCAGGAUUUUCCACUCUAGAUUUGAGGCUGGGUAUAUCCAUUACCAUCCCAAGACGGCAGAACGGAACAUAUCUCACCUGAUAUUUGCAGAGGACGUGAUGAUUUUUUUUAUGGUGGGAGUUCAUCGUUACACAGCAUAACUGAAGGAUUAGAAAACUUUGCGUCUUGGUCAGGAUUGCACAUGAACAGAGACAAGACUCAACUAUUUCAGGCAUGAGUAAACCACAUUGAAUCCACUGCAAUGGCAAGCUAUGAAUUCACUGUAGGUUCACUAUCAAUCCAAUACUUGGGUCUUCCCCUUAUGCAUCGUAAACUGAGACUCUCUAAGUAUGACCUCCUUUUGGAGAAGCUUGCUAAUAUAUUCAGAUCUUGGGCUGUUACAACCCUCUCAUUCCCAGGGAGAGCUCAGCUGAUUGCUUCAGUGAUAUUAGGAACCGUCAACUUCUAGAUUUCCACGUUUAUGCUCCCCAAAGGUUGUAUUAAAAAUUGAAUCUCUGUGUGCUAGGUUAUUGUGGUCUGGUAGUAUUGUGACAAGAUGAGGAGUAAAAGUAGCAUGGUUUACUGUGUGUUUGCCUAACUCUGAAGGAGGUCUGGGCCUGAGAAAAUUUUCUGUGUGGAACAAGACGCUAUGUCUGCGGUUCAUUUGGUUACUAUGCUCUGAAAGUGGAUAUCUCUAGGCUGAAUGGCAUAUCAGAGCUUCUGGUUGGUGGAGGCAUAUUCAGCUGAUUCAUGGACGUGGAAAUCUCUAUUGGAUCUUAGACCAUUGGCUGAAAUGCUCUUAGGAAAUCUGUUGGAAAUGGACGAAAAACAAAUUUUUGGUUGGAUUUUUGGACACCUCUUGGUCCACUAAUUAAACUUCUGGGUAAUGAUGGCCCGAGAAAUAUCAGGCUCCGUCUUUCUGCUAUAGUCGCAGAUACAUGCACAAUGGAGACUUGGAGAAUCCCAUCGCCAAGAUCUGUAGCACAGCUGAGUCUCCAUAUGCACCUAACGACUAUCAACUUACCUUCUUCCUCUCAGAUCGAAGAUGACUGUUUUUGGUUGGAAAAUGGUGUUAAGUGCAGCCAGUAUUCCUCCUCUAAGACUUAGGAUGAUCUAAGGCCACAACAAGGUGAAACAGUGGUCUAAGCUUGUAUGCUUUAAAGAUUGUGUUUCGAGGCAGGCUUUCAAUAUAUGGAUUGCACACUUGAAUAGGCUCCCCACUAGAGCCAGAAUAGCUUUUAGAGGAACAAAUAUAUUCACAGAUUGUUGUCUUUGUUCCAGAGACGAGGAAACGAGAGAUCAUUUGUUGUUCAGUUGUGCUUAUAGCUCGGAAAUCGGAAAUCUGGAGGCUGAUACUUACAAGGUUAGACCAUACCCAGAGUCUGUUCAUCUUGUGGUCGGAGUUGUUAUCAUGGAUAAGUAUGCGUUCUGAUGCUGCCCCUUAUACCUGAAAGGUGGUGGCUCAGGCUAUGGUUUACCACAUUUGGAUGUCAAAGAAACAAUUUGCUGCACAACUAAUAAAGGAUUCCUGCAUCCAGCAUUUUCAAGUCCAUUGAUCGUGUGACUCGAAACACCAUUACUACGAGAAGACAAAGACGUUGCUUUAGCAACUUUAAUGUCUCUUUGGCUUCAAUGAAACAAUAUAAAAUCUAAUUUACUGUGUAUUGUUCUCCUUGUUUUUUAUUUCUUUUUUGCCAAGGAAGUUUUGUAACAGGUUAGCAUCUUUUAUAACCUUCUUUUCAUUUUAAUGAUAUUAACAUUCAUAGCAAAAAAAAAAAAAAAAGAAAUGGUACUUGCAAUGUUUUACACCAUGUUUGUGUUUUAAAAAUAUUUCACACUACAUAUUCAAAGUUAUAAUGCAGGAUACAAUUUGUUUCUAGUCGAAAAGGUCAAAAAUAUCCAAAUUUUUUAUGUGGUGUUUUCAAGAAUUAUGCUUUUAAGAGAAUUUAAGAAAAUCGGACUAUUCUAUCGAGAUACUAUAACUUAUUCAACAGAAUAUCUAAAGCAUUUGUUCUGAAAGCAAGAAUUCUAGAUGCUCUUCUCCCCAUUUGUUUUUGGUCGAAUGCCACAAAAGAUGUUGAGAAUUAGGCACAAGAACCGGGUUCAAUAAGUUGACAAAUACCAAACCGAGGACCGACGUGGAAUCGUGGAGAAAAAGUUACAUUACAAUAAAGAUAAAUAAAGAAAAGGGAAGAUGACGUAAAGCUCAGAUUUGGAGCCUAACGAACUCCACGUCACCGCCUAAGUUCAUCCAUUGAAAUUUGACGGCGUCUUCUACUCUUCUAUCAUAACCCUUCGUUCUUUCAUGUGAACCACGUCACCGCCAUUCUCUUUUUUUUUUCUUUCUUAAUACAUUUCUCAAUAUGCGUCCAAUAUCAUAAAUAUAAUAUAUAUAUAUAUAUACAAUUUAACCUAUUAAGGCAUUGCAACUUGUAGUGAACUUUCAAAGGAACUUGCAUCCACAAAUUUAAACAUUUUUGCAUGUUGUAGAAUUGAACACGAAUAAUAAAGUGUGUAUUGAUGAUACACUUGUGUUACUUAUUUGACAAUUUAUUUGGUUUUCUUAGAAAAACUGAAACUGGCUUAUACAGUAUGUUUGUACACAUUUUUUGUAUUCGAAGAAAUUGGGGCAUCAUACAGUGACAUUGCUAUUAAUGUUUCUUCUAUAUCAAACCAAGUGAUAACAAAAUAUAAAAAGUAAUAAUGUUGACUUGUAAAUAAAGUAAGAAAAUUAAAUUCUGUCAUUUCAGAAGAGGAAGUAUGUCACAUGUAUAAUAGAUCAUCGAUACUUUUCAUGAGAACUUCCACAAGAAAGCCAUUGACUUCUUAUACCUUUCUCAAUUUUCCAGCUUGACCCAUUUUUUUCUUUUGAAGUUAUGAGAACUUUAUGUAUAAAAACAUUUUAGACUAGACCUCAAGAAAAUUCAGAUAUUUUUAUAAUUUGUGAAAAAAAUGUUGAAAUAAAUUGAUUGGAUUAUUUCUAUUACUAACGUUAAUCCAGUAUUAUGGUGGUCUAUAUUAUUAUUAUAGCCACCUAUACGGAAUGUUGAUGUGCCAAACAAUGGAGACACACAUUGUGUACUUGGAUUAAUGAAUAAAAUGACAUGUAUCAGUCUAUGGGACACAUAGUAAACUAGAUUAUUUCAUACCUAAAAUGCUAUAAUAUUUGAUUGAUAAAUGAUAAGAACAAAGAAAAGUUCUUGCAAGUUUGAAAAAAAAAAAGAGAAUAUCUUGACUCGUGCGGAUCUCAAACUUUUCUUUUCUAUCCUCUUCUCAAAUUAUAUUCCAAGUAAAACACGCAAUUACCAUAAGAGUUAAACAAUAUAAAAAGAGUUCUCAACUAAAUCUUCCAAAAGAGGCUUUCUCUUAUGGUUCACAUGUAAGUAUAUACUUUAAUUUACAUAAAAUUUAAUUUAACGAAUCCUAAUGAGCCUAUUUUCUGAACACGUACAAAUCAAUUUAAUGCAUAUCUUCACAUUUACACAAGAAUAAAGAAACUACACAUAUUUUUACUCCAUUGCUUCUGAAUUUAUAUAAUUCUUUCCAUUUAAUAUGAUUGAGUUUUUAUCCCUCUAACAAGGAAAAAUAUUAUAUAUAGAUACAAGGAAAGCCCAUUUCAUUAUCUAUCUUCUCUUUGAUUCAGCGAGCGAAAUAAAAACAAAAGGCCAAAAAUGGGUGCAGACGCAAUCCAAACGAACGGUCACGAUCCCGCCAAGUUAACCGCCGCGAGAGGGAUCCAACGGUUGAGAUGCGCCGUGAAGAACUACGAGUGGGGCAAACUCGGACCGGACUCACUUGUUGCGAGGCUCCACGAGGCGAAUUCAGGGGACCGAGUCGACCCGGUGGUUCCUCACGCCGAGUUGUGGAUGGGUACUCACGAGUCGGCACCGAGUUACGUUGUGAAGGAAGAAGAAUUCGGGUCGGGUCGUAAUGGAUCCGAAUGCAUGGUUACAUUGAAAUCAUGGGUUUUGGAUUAUCCGAAUUUACUCGGGUCUAGAGUCGUGGACAAAUGGGGUUGUGAUCUUCCUUUCCUCUUCAAGGUAUUAUAUUUUAAAAGUUUCCAAUUAAAACAUGUAUAUUCAAAACCUUCUUUCAAAAAAAAAAAAAAACAUGUAUAUUCAGAUUCUGUUUAUGGUAAAUCUUUUUGUUUUUCCAGUUUUGUCUCAUACAUAAUUGUUCAGGAACAAAAGUAUUAUUUAUUUGAUCCUAAGAUUCUCAUUUUGAAUAUUUUUGCUCUGUUUUGAGGAUUUUACUUUUUGACUCUGUUUUCUUAUAAAAUUUCUAAUUAAAAGUCAAAACAUAUAUAUAUAUAUAUAUAUAUAUGUAUUUUUUUGUAAUUUCAGAUUCUGUGAAUUGUCAAUUUCUCCACUUUUUAUAUUUACAUAUAUUAUAUAUACAGCCAAUUUGUCUUGUUAGAUACAUAUAUAUUUUGGCUCUGUUUUGAGGAUGAUACAUUUUAACUCUGUUUUCUCAAUUUAUAAAAAUGCAUUUCUUUUUCUCUGUGUGUUUUAAAUUUAAAACAUAAAGGUUUGAUUCUAAUGAAUAAGAGUUUGAUGUUGAAAUGUGCAAAAAAUAAAAACAGGUUUUGUCAGUGACGAAAGCAUUGUCGAUUCAAGCACAUCCAAACAAAGCCUUAGCAGAGAAAUUGCAUAGAGAAGAUCCUCUUCUUUACAGAGAUGCUAACCAUAAGCCUGAGAUUGCUCUCGCCAUUACUCCUUUUCAAGCUCUUUGUGGUUUCGUAUCUCUUAAUGUACUAGAUUCUUCACUUCUCUGCAAACAUCUAAUUUAGUCGGUUUUUGAUUUAGAUAACUUCGGUUAUUUUGCCUAUCACAUAUGCUAAAUCCAAAAUUGAACCGGUUCUGUACCACUUUUGAUAUCAAAUUCAGGAGCUGAAGGAAGCCAUCGCCAAUGUACCAGAAAUCACAGAGCUUGUCGGAAGUAAAGCAGCAGAUCAAAUCUUCAAAGUCAACGAACACGAUGGAGACGAAACAAGUGUUAAAUCCGUUGUCCGUUUGAUUUUCACGCAAUUGAUGUCUGCAAACAUCAAUGAUACAAAGCAAGUCAUAUCACAGAUGAAGAUUCGUCUGAUCUCAGAAACAAACCACCGUGAGUUAUCGGAGAAGGAGAAGUUAGUAUUGGAACUAGAGAAACAGUAUCCAGGUGACGUGGGCGUGAUCUCAGCAUUCUUCUUUAACCACGUCAAGCUUAAUCCCGGAGAGGCUUUGUAUCUUGACGCCAACGAGCCACACGCUUACAUUUCCGGCGACUGUGUUGAGUGUAUGGCGGCUUCAGACAACGUUGUUAGAGCUGGUCUCACUCCGAAACACCGCGAUGUUCAAACUCUGUGUUCUAUGCUGACCUACAAAUUGGUAACUUUCUUUACACGUUAACGUUUUUUUUGGUUUAGUUGGCUAGCAAAAUUUGGAUUGUACCCUAACCCUAACCAAAACCGAAAAUUUAUUUUUCUUUGUUUGGUUAUUGAUUAAUUGUACCGGAUUUGUUUCAGGGCUACCCGGAGAUUUUGAAAGGAUUUCCUCUGACUCCAUACAUUACGAGAUACCUUCCACCAUUUGAUGAGUUUGAAGUGGACCAUUGUGAUCUUCCUAGAGAGAAAUCCACUGUUUUUCCGGCCAUACCAGGGCCAUCGGUUUAUCUGGUUAUUGAAGGAAAAGGGACAUUGAAAACCGGUUCAUCUCAAUUGUUGGUUAAACGAGGAGAUGUUUUGUUUGUUCCGGCACAUAACGAGAUUCACGUAACCGGAGAAAGUGAUGUGAUGAAGCUUUACAGAGCUGGAGUCAGCAGCAGAUUCUUUCAAACAAUGUAGACUAAGUAAAGAUACAUAUAUAUAUAUUUAAUUUGUUAUCUAAAUGUAACCAUAGGGAUCAAGGCAUUGACGUGAUCAUAGUCAAUAUUGGUCCAUGUUCUUUAAUCCUACAAAUGUCCCAUUACGAAUCAAGGGUUCAAGGGGUUGUUUUUCUAUUAACUUUUGUUGUUUCUUCUACACCUUUAAAAUUGAAUUAUAUAUGUAAAAUGAUUAUAAAACAAUGUUUUUUUUUUUACUUUUUGCUAUUGUAGUGUAGUAACUAGUAAUUAUUCUUCCUUUACCUGUUUAAACUUUAAUUUCUAGAACUACUCUGCAAAAGCACAUUUGUUCAGUUGUAAUAUGUAGAGAUCGAACCACAGAGACGAGAAAUUCGCUCAAUAAACCUAAUAGACUCUAAUUGCGCUAAGAAGAAAUAAUGAAAUUGAGAGCAGCAAUGCAAUAAAAAACGGUUUUAAAUUCGAUGGGAAAGAAUUAGGCUCAGGGUGUUUCACAGAAAAUCAGAGAAUGCAGACAAAUCGAUUAGUCAUGAUUCAGAUUUAAGCGCAAUUCUUGAACUCAAAUCACGAAAUUAUAAUUAACUAACUUUUGUUGCGAAAAUUAUUUAAAUCUAAAUCCCAGAAUCCCAAUUUUCUUUGCAAUCCUAAAGAUAUAAAUUAGCCUUAAGUGCAGGUUCGAUAUGUUCACAAAGUGUCUAAACCAAUUUUUUUUGUGGAUAGCUACUUUGCUCAUCCUAGGUUCUUUCGGAUUAUUCAAUUACAGUUUCGUGUCAAUCAAUUAACCUAAGAUCUAAGUUCUAGGUGAUCAGUCCAAAAUUAGCUUUAAGAAUAAUCUAUGGUGAAUUACUAAUCAGAUUAUGACCCCUAACUAAUUAAUUAUCUAAAAUUCAAAGGGAUCCCUUAUGAGAACCCUAAACCUAACAAACAAACUACUCAAAUAUGGAGAUUGAAUCAAUAAACAUGAAUGAAUAGAUUGCAGAAAGCAGUAAAAAGAUUAAUAAACAGAGGUUCAAAAUCUUCUCUCAAACAAACAGAGUCUCAGACUUGUCUCCCUAAAAGCUCUCUCAAGAUCAAUAGAAAUCAAAAGUCUCAAAGAAAAUCUAGAGUGUAGCCAAAACACGUGGCUGAAAACCCUAUCAAAAGCUAAAACACAUGUUGGACUUCCCUGUAAAUAUUGGAGACUUCUGGGCUCAAGAGAUUCUUUAAAACUUAGACAAAAUCACGUUUUUCCUUAUUCACGACAUUGGUGUCGAGCAACACCAAAACAUAUAAAUCAUCUUUCACGAAUUUGAUCCCUGCUUAGUUCCAAAAUGCUCUAAAAUCUCCAAUUAAACUCCAAAUACAUUUAAGACCUGAAAAGACUCCAAAAAAUUAAAAAAACACUAAAGAGACUCUAUAAAUAAAACCUAUCAUGAUCAAAAACCAUAAAAAAAAACCAUGAUAUAUCAUUCUCCAUGAUAAGCAUUUUUCGAAUGGUCUGAGUCGAACAAAACAAUGUUCUCUAAAGUAUAAGGCCAAUUCUUUUUGCCUCCCUCGUCACUUACCUUUUGUUUGUGGCUUCCAUGGCAUAGACUAGAGAGAUGACCCCGAGAAGACCUAAUCUAGCACGCAUUUGUUUGGAUGUUGCUAAUGUUCCGUUUUAAAGUACAUAUGCAAAGAUCGUGGAAAGUAAAACGAACUCAAUCUUAAGUCUUGAGACAAUGAUUUUUGCCAAUUUUCCGGUAAGCUUUCCCGGUGAAAUCUUUCACUGGAAUGACCUGAUUAUGGAUGCGCUGGAAACUUGAGUACUAUAACGUGAUAUACUUAUAUGUCAAAAUCGAAUUUAAACUGAAUGAGAAAUGAGGAUUCUUAGAGAGUAUAGCUUGAAAGCUUAAAAAUAACAUAAGUUACCAAAUGACAAGUGUGAUUUGUCCCACAUUAGCAAUUCAACGUUACAUUUUGAACGUAGUGUUACGUUCUCCCCUUGAUAAUACUCAAUAGAUCUGCUUCUAGCCUGUCCCAACAAUCUGAUUCGGAUUGAGAAUUGCGGUUUUUGCGAACGUUGUUAAAGAUUUCCAAAAAAAAAAAUAUUUCAUUACGGCUUUUCACAUCAAAUCGGAAAAACUCUGCUUAGUUUUAACUUUUUAGGGAAUUUGAUAAAUAUUUGACAAACUUUGUGAAAAUAACUUUUGGAGUAGCAAAAUUCCGCAAAAAAAAAAAAAAAACUCAGAGUAAACUUACUGACAAAAGAAAAAAGUUUCCUCAAGUUGGUUUAGUCGCAUUCCUUUUGUCAAGCACUUAAUCCACUACAAAGACGUUUUGUUGUAAUUUAACCGAACUGAACAAUCAUUCCAAAUCUUAAUAAGCAGCUAAAGAGAGACAUUGAGAGACCAAGAUAAACCGGUUUACUUGCACCUACUUGCUGUUUGUUAAAGCUUUGGUUACAAAAUGUGAAACGAUUCCAACCGGACAGAAGAGAAGGCACAAUGAAACCGAAUGCCUCGUCUCAAUCUUAUUCUCUAGCCCAUCAUUAAAAACUUGCCUGCAGAGAAACACUCAAAACAUGAGUUAUAAGAAACAUGCUAGGAUCAAUCAGAACCUGAAAAGUGCAAUAUAGUACCUUGCAGCGAAAAGAUCUAUAACAAGAAGAUGAAUCCAAGCAGAAGCAAGAGUCAUUUCACUUGAGAACAUUUUCGCUAUUCCAGACAACUGCAAAUGAAAAAAAAAAAAAGAAAUUUUAGAAACUGGAAUGUACACAUUUUCUUGUUUUCGAUAUUUCCUGAUAAUUGGAGGAAAAAGCUAAAACCUCUGGCAACAUGUAUUUACUGGAAAACAUGUAUUUGAGAGUAUCAGGCGUCCAAGAAAGGUAUAACAAAUACGCGUAUAAUACGCCUAAGACGAUAUACGGUAUGCUACUCUCCAUACACUUUUUGGUCUGCACAAGGAGAAAACAUACACUCAAUUCAAUAUGAACUUUUUUGAUUCUGCACAAGAAGUUGUAAAACUGCUAAACAAAAACUCACAAUUUCAGCUUUUGGAGCUACAACCAUUAGAGUGUAAAAGGGUAAAACAGCGGUUGUUCCAACCGCAAAUACACUGCUUGCAAUCUGAGAAGUAGCUAUCCCUGCACAAGAACAUGUUAUGUCUCUGUCCUACUUUCAAUUUAAACAUUGAAGAGCUAUAGAUUCUAGACAUAUAUCAAGCCUCUUUUUGGUUUAUAAUGUUUCAGUUAAGAGACAUUACAUGAAGCUCGUACACCAGAGGAUUUCUUUUGAACAAGAGAGGACGAGUUCGAUGAAACAUUAGGGAAAAGUGCGAUUUUUGAUCCUCCGAUAAAGCUCCAACGAUUCUGAAGUCGAAUACUUGACGAACCAACGCAUAGUUUAGACUUGACAUUGCUGAGAGAAAGACUUGUUAUCGAGCUCUUAGCUGAAAUGUUGCGAUUCAUCAUCUGAAUCACCAAACAAAAUGAAUCAAUCUGAUGAAAUAUAAAAAACUUCUUUAUUUCUUAAAAUUUAGGAAUCUGAGACCAAAAGCACUUUGAUCUGAACAACAACGAAUCAGGAACAGAGUUAGGUUCUGUAACAGGGACCCAUGAGGAGUAAAUUCAACUUCUUUAAUGUCUGCGUCAAUUCGAUCUGAUUCAAAGGAUAAAACUUUAAGGUUACCCAUAAGGAAUCUGAACUAUUCGAAAUUGUAGAAAGCUCGACAUAAGAAUCUAAUCCGACAAUCUCCAACAACUGUACAUACAUACAUACAUACAUACAUACAUGAUACAUACAUACAUACAUACACACACAUAGAUAUAGACAUAUAUCUGCGUAUACCGAAAAUUGGAGAAGAAUUGAAAAAGGAAGAGAAAAGGUAGAUACCGAGAGAGAUGAAGAAGACAAAGGCUGGGAAAUGCAAGAAGAUAAAGCCAUCUGCGAUUCAAAUCUUCAAUAGUCUUUGCCAGAAUUUGGCCAUUCAUUACCUUCUUCAACGAGCUCUCUCCAUAUAUAUAUGUAAAGUAUCAAUUUUUAGAGAGGAGAGUUGAGAGUUUUCCACUGGUUGAAAAGGGUAAGUGGAGAAGAAGCUAAGAGAAAAAGUGCUCACUCACUCUUUCUUCAUCAGUGUGGACAAUUAUAGUUGCUCAUCCACCCGAAUUUUUUAAAAAAGUUUUGGUCUUUUUUAGUUUUCCUCGUUUACUUCUGUUUCGCAUAAACAAAAAAAAAAGAAAAAACCAUUAUGAGUUUGAGUUAAUUUUAAAGAGAAAAUCAAAUUUAAAGAUUCUUUAUAUUGUAUGUUCAAAAUUGCAAUAUAUUAUGGAAAAAAAGAGAAGAUUUUUUCCUAAUUUUAGAUAAAAACCUUUAAUAAAAAUCAAAAAAUUAUUAAGAUAUUAAUUUAACCUUAUAUUUUAGAUAUUGUUCUUUUUCUGGUCAAUAUAAAAAAUUACAGUUUACCAUUCUUAUAUAAAAAAAAAUUAAUUAGACUCAAAUGGAAUGUUUUUAUUUUUUUAACAAGAAUAUAACUUUCAUAGAACCUAAUACCCAAAAAAAAAACAUUUGACCCGACUAAAUUAAAAUUCAAGGAAAGAUUGGAGCUUUGAUCCUUUACUCGAUAAAAAAAAGGUUCUUCAUUGUAUGAUCAAAUGACUUGUCGGAUUGUAUUUGUAGGUGGCUCAUCGUAGGAUUAAUAGCUUCUCGGAUUUUGUUAUCCUUGUCUUGUGUUUUGCUUUUUCCGUGAAGAUCAAAAUUUUCUUCUAUACAUUCCUGCUAUAUAUUCCAUCAUGUUCUACCGGUUACACUUAUAAGCCUAUAAGGAUAUCUAAUCUACUUUUUUAUUUGAUAAAAACCUAAUAUCUUUGUUAAUGGAUAUUUGUGCUUAAACUGAAUUUAGACACAACACAGGUCUAGUUCAGGACAGAACAAGACAAAAGUGACAGUGCUACUUCUACUCAGCAGUGGUUGUGACUUCCUCUAAAGACAAAAGUUGGUGUUUCCACCAUUAUUUCGGUUUUGCUUUUAUUAUAUAUUUUAUUUUAAUUUAUUUUUCGCUACAUGAGAAUUGCAUUAACGAAGGACAUUAUAUAUGAAAACAAAAAAAAACAAUAAAAAGAUAUACAUACAUGUGUCUGACACUCAUUGUUUGUGAAAUCAGUUGGGAGUAAGAUAGCGCUUGAGUGGGCUAUUUGGUAUGAUAGCUUCUCUCUAUUGAUGGGCCUUAUUGACCCACCCCACUUCAGUUUUGUUUAGUCAUUCACAACAAGAAAAACAUGAAAACAAAAGCAACACUUGUCUUUUCUAUCUCUCAAUCUGUAAGUGGUAUAUGCGCAUUUCGUUGAAUUCGAUUGAGACCAAAACUCUUUUAAAACAUAAUGUAUAGUUCUUAGGAUUAUAUGGGGAAAAUAUAUGAUGUCUCAAAGAUUUUUCAUAACAUAUUAUAUUCCUUAUAAUAAAAGGUCACCUGGGGUUUUUCUAUAAACCGGGGUUUUUUUAUAAACCGCCGGCUUUUCUAUAAACCGCCGGCUUUGUCUCUGGAGAUGUUGUAUCAUCUGCCGGCUUUGUGUAAUCCGUUGGCUUUGCUCUGUAACACUAUGGUGAUCAAUAUAAUAAUAUUCAAUGAAAAAAAAAAAAGGUCACCUAAAUAAUUAAAAAUUUGAAUUUUUACGACUCAUAUUUCUAUCCUAUUCCAAAGCUAGGAAAACAACAUAAAGAGUUACAAAUUCUUACUAUAUAGUACUUCCAACAAUAUCUUUAUGUAAAUUUGUGCCAAGUCAUUUUGAGUGGAAAAUGUAGAAUAUAUGAUCCACAAGAUCCUUGAAUAUACUUGGGUAUAUAGAAAUAAAAAUGAAUAUCCGAGACUCUUAUCUACAAGCCUAUCCUUAAGAAGGCACGUCCACGAAUGUUUCUAUCACAGAUUUUCAGUGGGCCAUCAUCUAUUACUUCAAGAUAUUGUUCUAAAAAUGCAUCUCAACCUCAAGCUUACUAAUCAUGUGACAAAAGUGAUAAUGUGAAUCUAGUUUUUCAAAUAAUUUCUUUAUUCAAUGACGACUAAUCAAAGAGUUGGUAUAUUUUUGUAUUCACAGUUCUUCAACUUUGUAUAUUUUCAUAUCUUGAGCCGCAUUGUAAUUUGUUUUUUCUUAUAUGCAAAAUUCAAAAUCAAAGAUUUAUAGAACAUUACAUAUUUAUUUCAUCAGACAUUUGAGAAUCCGAUAGAAAAUGUCUCGCAAACCGGAAAACAAACGUUAAAUCCGGAAAUUAAAACAAAACUAAGGAAACCAAAAAAAAAAAAGCAGAUGAUAAAAUCAAAGGUGAGGAGGGAGAUAAAGUUUUUUUUUUUUGAUGUUUACACAAAGCAAAGAAGCAGUGAAAUUAAGCAUCGGUGAAGCUUGCUGGCUUGUAGGCGAUGAAACUGAUGCACUGGACUUGACGGGUGUUGUCGAAUCCGAUGAUCCUAAUGAAGGCCUGGGGGUACUCCUUCUUGCACUCUUGCACUUCCUUCAACACUUGAGCUGAGUCAGUGCAUCCGAACAAAGGAAGCUUCCACAUUGUCCAGUACCGUCCAUCGUAGUAUCCGGGAGUGCUUCCGUGCUCACGGUGCACAAAUGCGUUCUACAAAAACACAUUACACAAAACCAUUCAAAAACAUAAAUCAAGAUUCUGCUUAGGACCUCUAAAUAGUUAUUAACUUGAUUGCAAGAUUCAUAUGGUCCAAGAGAUCAAGCUACUCUAUAAAUGAUUUUUAUUACCUCCAACUCGAAUUCAACACAGGGAAUCCACUUGUUGCGGAGAAGGUAGUCAACUUCCUUAGCCAAUUCAACUUCGGUUAGGUCAGGAAGGUAAGAGAGAGUCUCAAACUUCUUCUUACCAAUAGGAGGCCACACCUAUUUUUUGCCAUUUUUCCAAAAUCAACAAAAACAAUAUUAGUUUAUAUGAUUCGAUAAAUCAAAAACCCAUAAAUUUGUUUUUGGUAUAAGAGAUUUGACCUGCAUGCAGUUAACUCUUCCGCCGUUGCUUGCGAUGGAAGUAAUGUCGUUGUUGGCCUUACGGGUCACAGGGAAAGCAGCGGAGGACUUAAGUCCGGUGAAAGGUGCGACCAUUGUGGCCUGAGCCGGAGAAGCGACCAUUGUAGCGGAAGAGAGCAUAGAGGAAGCCAUAUUGCCUUUACUCUUUUUGUGUGUGACUUAGGUUUGGUCUAGUGCUUUGGUCAUCUAUAUAUAAUGGUAACAACAAUGAUAACAAGGUGAGGGAGUGAUCGGAGGGCUCA